rnacentral:lncRNA from 1 species
UAAGAUUAAACUUCAGUAAAGUUGUUUCAGUUAUCCAUGUAAUCAGGCUAAGGAUAUUUAGCAGCUUAUUUAGGCAACUGCCAGAAUUUAGUUUGUUCGCUCGAAACUUGUAUGGUGACAAGGAUACUGGCAAGGAUAGUGAGAUAGUUUUUUGUGUGAGUGAAUUUUGAAAGCUUGGGUGUUCUGGGAUUUGCAAUUGCAAUCAUCCUCUGCUUUAGGUGAUUUCUUCUCCUGUUCUGUCUUUAUUUUCUCUCUAAUUGAAAGCAUUUCAAUCAAAUUCUGUACCAGGAAUACGAAAAAUUUACUAAUAUUUUAUUUCCAUCUGUUUGCAUUGAUAACUUGGCCGCAUAUGUACUAGUUAAAGAACAAACAGAAGCAGAGUUCAGGAAAAAGUUUCUUCGGCCACCAUAUUUGAAAAUGAAACCAAUUCCAGGAAGCAGUUGGCAGCAAAUUCAUACAAAGUAUAGACAAUGAUGUGCAAAAAGGUGAUUCGCAAUUUCAUUUUUUUAAAAUGAAAUUAUUUGUUAAGUUGGAGCUGAUAUUGUUAGAAGGCCAUUGAGCUAACCUAUGACACUGCUUGCCUAGAUUGCAGGAGGUCAAGGCUCAAAAGAUGCACUGAAUUUUAAAAGGCAUGCAAUAAUUCUUAUGGCCAUUUGUCAAUGGUGGAAUGCUUUUAGCUUCUUUUCCUUUCGUGCAUUUUGGGGUUCUAUCAAGCGACAGCCGUAUGUAUGGAUGGAUAUAGCUGCUGCGUUGAUUUCUAAUGCGGUGGAGUAAUCGUCGUUAGAAUCUGAAUGAUAUGUCUAAGACGUUGCAUGCAUCAAGAAAAUUGCAGAUGAUUAAACCUUGCCAUCUAUGCGUUGUAUGAGGUUAUAGCAACUAUCUAUCUGGUCACCGUUUUAAAAGAAUAAGACAAAGGGAAAAAGAGAAAGAAAAGAAUGAUUCGACAAUGGCAUUAAAGUUCAACAUACCCCAAGAUCUUGUAAUAAUGCCAUUAAUCAUUUCUAGCUAGGCUAGCCUUAGAGAAAAGUGAAACUGUUGCACAGGUAGAAUCACACCCCUCAGAGAUAAUGUGUUUUUAUUCAGCUCUUCGAAUGAAUGAAGUUUAUUUUCUCGUCAAAAAAAAAACUGCUCGUUCCGCUGGUUUCAUACAAUGUCAACUAGAAACAUCAUACUUUCGUAUAAGUUCAUUAUUGUUUCUUGGAAAUAUCAGAAUAUUUCUUAGAGUUUGUAUAAAAUGAAAAGAUUUUAAAAUAUAAAUUUAAUAUUUGUUUAUUACCGUUGUUUGGUCUAAUUUCCUCGGGAGAAUUUUCAGAAUUUAUAGGACAUUAGUUUAUAAUUUGCGCAUUGACAUAUAUCUUAUUUUAUCAUUUUGAAUGAAUUGCACGGCGAGGCUUAUCAACUUUGGAUGAAUCCUCCAAUUGUCGCAGUCCAAGACUGGCUGCAGUGAGUGAAAAUUUACCCAUAUAUAUGCUGGCUAUUUUUAUUGGCGACGAAUUCGUUGUAGUUGGUCCAUCUUGCUAUUCUCGGACAAUAUUAGAGAAAAUAAUCAUAUUAUUUCGCGUGAUGUGACCUUCCAUAACUUAUCAAUUGAAUUACUGUAAAAUUAUUGUGUAAGUUUAGGCCCAAUGGCACUUUAGUUCGAUAGCCUGGAUUUAAAAGGAAAACUAUAUUGCAUUGCUUCAAAAAAAAAAAAUUAAUGUUUUUAAUAUGAAUAUUCUUAACUAUAUUCAGUUAAAAUAAUAUAUUCUUAAUAUUAAUAUUCAUAGAUGAAAUUCUUUUGUGGAUUUAAGAAUAAAAUAUCAAAUAGUUUUAUUUUUCUUUUGUUGUGUAACUUGGACCGAAAAAGAAAAUGAGCUUAACAUGACCCUCCUUCCGGCACUAUGCAUGUUUUUCUUUUAUUGAUGACAGUGCUCUUGGUGCUUCUCAUCUGCUUCUUGCUUUGGUUUCAAACAAGUCUUUCUCCGUCGAGACAUUUAUUGUAAUUUGAUUUGGAGACAUCUGUCGUUCAAAUAUAUUUCAUAUGCAAGCUGUUGAUAAUUCUGCUUGAGAAAGCCUACAAAGCAGCUGUGUGAUGUAAUAGAAGACUAUAUAUGCAAACGGUCAUCAGUUUCUCUUGAAUUCUUUCUUGAGUUUCUUUGAAUUAUUUGUGAAUGAGUUCUUAAUCGGCUGCUGCUCUUCAGGAAAAGGAAAGUGUUGCAAACUGGUGAAGCUGAUCGAUAAAAGCAAUGUACCAUCUUUGCUGGCAUGGAUCGAUGCCAGUGAGUUUUUUUAUUUGUCAACCUUUUUAAUAAUGCAUAUGUUUUUCUUCAACUUGAAGCGGCAUAUAAGACGAAAGAAGUGAUCUUUAAAGCAUUCUAUGGCAUUAUCCUUUCCUAUUAUAUAUAUCCAAUUGCUCCAAAUUAUUUGUAAAUUACUGAACACGAAUGCUGAUGAAUAAACUGAUGGCUCUAUGUAUGUAUGCACAUGCAUGGAGAAAUUUUAAGUCAGACAUUCUCAUAUAUAACUCGUGGGACCAAAUCAUUAAAUAAUCUUGAAAUCAAAGUAAUAAUUAAAUACAAAUAAAUUGCUCGAAUUGUACAUAUAUCUGAAUCAUGUAGUGAAGAAAAUACAACAACAACAACCAAUGGCUCAAAUUCCCCAUCAACUUCUAGUCUCAACACUUUUGAGUGUCAGAAGCAUUACUCUGCUACCAGUUAACAAACAUAUAAUUAGUAAUUUGCCAUUCACUUCCCUUUUAGGCCUAACACAUUUUCUAUAAAGGAGCCACAGAGUGAACUCAGCAGGAAACACUCAAUUUCAACCUACGUAGGACCAGGAAUUUCAACAAAAAAAAAAGUGUGCAAUUGCUUAUCCUAUCCUAUUGCUACUAGAAAGAAAGUGAACAAUUAAUUUCAGUGAAUAAAUUAAAAAAAAUUACUUCUGCAGAUACUCAAGCUAAGAACACAUUAACCCAUUAAAGACUCCAAAUUGCAUCAAACAAAUUGUUGUUAAACAAGUAAAACAAAGAAAGAGAGUUAAGGAAGCUGACCUAGUAGUAGGGGAGCUGAAGAAAGACUGCCAGUGAAUGUAAGAGAAAAUAAAAUGCAAGAAAUGGUGAAGUGCAGCUUUUCAUGUCAACUUGAAAUUGUUUCUUCUGUUUUUUGUAAUCUUUUGGAUUUUUCAAACAAAGAAAAUGAGGAGCAACCAGGGAGAUAAAAAGGGCGCCAAGGCAACUGUGUGUUGGGUUUAGAGCCAAAAAAAAAAAAGAAUAAGACAUCGUGUUCUUGUGGAGACCAGACCUAUUACGUAUAGGGAUGGCAAUGGGGCGGGGUGGGGGUGGGGAUGCCUACCCCAUUCCCCACCCCAUUAAAAAUUUUUGCCUCCAUUCCCCACCCCAUUCCCCAAUAAAUUUAGUGGGUUGGGGAUGGGGAAUCCCCACGUGGGGAAUGAUUCUCCCAUCCCCACCCCAUUCCCCAUUUACAUAUUUUAUAGUAGAUAUAAAAAUAUGAUUUCAGUAAAUUAAAAAUUAGAGACUUAAGAUAAAAUCAUCACAAUAUUAUAAAGUAUUUAAUUUUAAAAAAAAAUCUCUAAAAAUUUGAAACAAUAUCUUAAAAUGAUAUUAAAAGUGAAAAAUAUUUAAAGAAAGCAGCACCUUAAAAGAGAAAAGAAAAUAUAUUAAUGUUUUAAAGUUGAAAAAUAUUGUAGAAUUUUCUUUUAUUCAUAUUCUAUUUAUAUUACAUAAAAAUUAAAAAAAAUUAUUAAUUGACAUUAUAGUUGAUAAAAUAUAAAUUAUUAAAUAAGAAUUAAAAACAUAUUUAUAUAUAAUGGGGAUUGGGGUGGGAGUGGGGUGGGGAGUGCAAUACCAAACCCCACCCCGUUAACAAUUUGGGGAUUAUUUUUUCCCCACUCCCCACCCCAUUCCCCAAAAAUUAUUAAAAAAUUUCCCCAUUUGGGGUGGGGCUCCAUGGGGCCCCAAACCCGUGGAGGAUUUUGCCAUCCCUAAUUACGUAACGUCCCCUUCAAUACCACUUGUUCCGUAUCUGGUUUUUUCUUCGUCUUUUACAUAUUUAUCCUGUGAUUUUACAAUAACUAAAUAAUCCCCGCAUAGUUUGCAAUUUUAUUCAUUUGGGCCCUACAGAUUUCAGUAAUAGGAAUUAUUAAGGGACAAGAGCGCAAAACAGAAACUCUGUCCACUACUGAUGAUAUAACAACGAACCUUUGUAGUUUCUGCCUGUUAAUAUGAAUUGAUCAGGAGUGUUUCCUCACUUACAAAUUACGAAUUUACAAAAUAUGUAUGUAAGUAUGUGUGUACGUACGUGUGUAUGUAUGUACAUAUAUGCAUACACCUAUGUAACAUUUACUUAUACAUUCUUUUGAGUUUAAAUCUUAAUACACAUUUUCAUGAAAUUUUUAUUUUAUUAAGUAUACAACUACAUACAACUACAUUAAUGUAUAUAUUUUUUAUAUAAGACAUGCCGUCCUAUUAUUCAUAAGUAAACAAUGUGUUGUAAAUAGUAUUCUGUGUUUUCUCAAAGUUGACUUUUCGUCUUUUAUUUUCAGACGCAGACGCUAUGUCAUUUUGUAAUCUUCAAAACAUAUGCAGAGCAGAAUUGGUGUUAUAUGAUUUUGUGAUGCAAUAAGAUUUGCACUUCCUGUGCACUCAAUGGAAUCAUUUCUUUGUAACUAAUUGGGUGGUGGAAUGGUGGUCAAAUAUCGAACGAAGACAGAUCUAUCAAACUCCAGAAACAGGGAAACCAUGCCACGCUAGUAGACAAUAUGCUAGUAUGAACAAACUUGUUUGAAUGGCAAAAACGACAUGACCUGCUGUAGUAUUAGUUCUUUCCCGAACCAAAGGGUGAUUUGCUACGUUAGAUCAUGAAAAUUGAAAAAAAAAAUUAACCAAAAUAAAAAUUCUUACGGUAAGAAUAAAAAUUCUUAAGGAAUUAGUUAGUUAAUUGAUUGAUCGAAUUUAAUCUAAAUUGGAAAAUGAUAAGAUAAUUUUGAAUUUUUUAUUAUAAUUAUUAUUUUAAAGUGGGGUGGGUUUAUACAAUUUGAGGCUUUGAGCGGUGUAAAUAUCACUGCUGAAUUAUUAAAUAUACAGUGUAAAAUUUUGACCUUUAAAAUAUUCCUUUUUUUCAUUUAGCACUAUAAGUUUAAAAAUUUAACAUUUUACCUCAAUAAUUAAAUACUUUUAACUUUAAUCUUCAAAUAUUUACCCUACAACAUUCGGACCUAAAUUUUUAAUCCGACUCGGCCCCUGACCCAAGUGGGAAGAAGAUCAGGCUUAUAAGUUAUAACUAUCACCAACAUAACAUCUUCUGGAAAAUAAUAAGAUUACUCACCUGCAAUUAUGUGAUCAAACUAAUGGUAAGCAAAAUAGAACAGCGUUAUUUCAGUCCCCUUUCAGUUUCUUUAUCAUUUUUCUUUUCCUAUUUAUAAGCUUAAUUCGGUCCAAUAUCGGCUAAUUCACUUUGAUUUCACUUUUCUUUCUUUCGGUUCAAAAAAAUUGAACCCAUUGGCUGUCAAUUCAAUUUUGUUGAAAACCAACUUUGCCUGAAUUUGAGUAAUAAUAGAGGAAAAAAAAAGUGUACUUAGCAGAAGAGAUUUCUCAUUUUUUUCUCAUUCAAACUUCUAAAAUAAAGGGAAAAAAAAAACAAGAGUAAUUGUUAAUUAUCAAAAAUUUGUUUAUACUAUUCCACCAAGAAAAUUAUAAAAAAAAAAUUUAAAAAUUGGAGAAGAAAUAUGAGGUGAAAUACGUGGAUGGCUUAGACUAAUAAUGUGAACAAAUUCCUCUCGGAAACAUGUCAUUGUUCAUCCGGACAACACGCGGCAAUGAGAUUCAAGAAUUAAAUGAUAGGAAUCAACUGUAACCUCAUAAACAAAUGGCCUUGGAGUUGUAAACACCAAGCUCGGCAGAUUAAUUAAACAAGAAUAUCCGAAUUUUCUAUGAUAAUCUCUAGGAAACGAUCAGCUAUAAUAUACGAAAUUAAAAUAUUGCAUAUAUUUUUGAACUCAUGCAUUAAUUUCAAAAAUUAUAUCGUAUUAUAAUUUAUUCACAAAAGAAAGAAAAAUUCACUAAUCAAUUGAAUAAAUAUAAGUAUUUCAUCCAGUGUAAUACUUAUAUCAAUUGAAUAAAUAUAAGAAAAAUCACCAAAAUUCACUAAUCAAUUGGAUAAAUAUAAGUAUUUCUUCCAGUGUAAUUUUUGUUUAAUAGAAAAUCUAUUUGAGAUUUUGUGAGAAGAAACUCAACAAUAAAGUGUGAUAGACUUUGUGGGUAUUAAGAGUUUGACAAGUAUUUGAAAUCUGAAGUUUACGAGCAAACAAACUGAAAUCCGAAGUUUACUGAAGUUUACUAUCAAGAGUUUCAAAACAGUGAAAAAGAUGAUAUAGUUGAUGACAAAAACCUGAGUUAUCCAUAGCGACAAGUAACAUACUGAAGUAAGCCGUUGGGAGCUGGCCUGUUCAUGGGCUAUUUUUCUCUGAUGAUCUGCAUUUUUCUUCCUUUUAAGUGAACCUUGACUCGUAUCAAACCUGUCAAAAGAACAGUUCAUCAACUGAGCUGAGAUUUGCUUUCCUUUUUCAAAACCCACCUGAGAUAUUGUAAUUCCCAAAUUUCUCUCUCUCAGCUACACGAGCAAGCAGCCGCUUUUUCACUUCAUCGAAGAAGGUAAGCGAUAUAUCUAUUUCGUCCGAUUGAUUUCUUGUUUCCUUUUCAGUGUUCCGGUAAAUUAUUGGCAUGCCUGACUUUUUGACCAUUACACGAUUCAUAAAUUUAUAUUAAUUUUGAUUUUGAGUUGACCGUUUACUUUUACAGGUUUGCUUACUUUGACUAGGUGACCAAUUUCUUGUAACUAAAUUUAUGACGUGGGCAGGAUAUGAAAUGAGAAUCUUAUUAGUGGAAGGAUUGCCAGUAACAGAACCCAAAGAAAAUGAAACCAUUUCAAGGCAGCAGUUGGCAGUUGGCAGUGAAUGGAGGCCCCUGACAAAACUUCAGUAAACUUCAGAUUUCAGUUUGUUUGCCCGAAAAUUGCAUGGUGACAAGGAUACUGGCAAGGAUAAUGAGAUAGUUUUUGUGUGAAUGAAAUUACGAUCAUCCUCAGCCUCGGGUAAUUUCUUCUCCUGCUUAGUUGUUAUUUGUUACCUAAUUAAGAAGCAUAAAGUAUCUUGAAUCAUUUUCGUUGUCCGGAAUAUAUGCAACAGUUUUUUACGAUCAUCCUGAAUGACUACUAGAGACAGUCAAGCUAAUGACUAUAAAUUAAGCGCUUCUUGGGAGGUAACCCAAGCUUUCUAAACUUUAUUAUUGUCAAUUUUUUUUCAUAUUUUUUUCUUUUCUUUUACUUAUUUUAUUUUGUUUUAUCUAGAUUUUGCACGAGUUCGAGGGUCGAUGAACAUCAACUUUCCACAUGUCUUUCAACGGCUUAGCUACAACUUUACAUCUUCAAGUGCAAAACCGGGGGAGUUUCUCUUUUCCUUUUCUUUUUCUUUACAUUGAGGACAAUGUUUAUUUUAAGUUUGGGGGUGGGAAUAUUUGCUUUUCAUUUUUUUCCCAAAAAAAAAAGAUUUUAAUGCCUAUGAUGAGUUUAUGAUUGAAAAUGAAUAUGGUUCUUAGAAAGGGAUGAAUAUUAUCUUAGUUUAUACUUGAUUCUUGUGUUAGUUUCGUCUUGAUUGAGAUUCUUUAAAGCGAUUCUUUUAGAAUUUUGACUUGAGAUUUGAGAUUGAUACAGCCUAAGUUGAGAAUUUUAGAUUGAGUAAAUGAUUGUUUGCCUCGAUUCUACAUUACUUAAGUUUACCCAGGCACCAUAGUCAGAAAUAGCUACCUACAACCCUUAAGAGUGAAGCUAUCCUCGAGUAAUUUGGGCCUAUGUAUCACCAGUAUGUAGAGGAUAAUCUACCAUGAGAAGAAGGUUACCUUAAGGGGUAGAGUGAAAGCUCCUGACUAUGGACAAAGAAAUGAAAAAAAAAAAGAAAAAAAAAAGAGCACGAGCUUCAAGAAAAAUCAAAAGAAAAUGCUAAUUUAUGCCUGAGAAAAAAAAAAAAAGAUCAAGAUGAUGAGGUUAGUUUGACCUACCCUGUUUAUUAUUCGAGACAAGGGCUGUUGAUGUUGAAGAUCUUGAGAAUGAGUUUUGAUUGAAUUGAUUCACACACAACACAUGAAUCCAAUAUGAGAUGAGGCUGACCAUUGAAUUAAAGUUAGAACUUUGCUAGUAUUUUUAAUUUUCUUUGAGCUAUAUACUUUAUGCAAUCUUUGAGGCAUUUUUUAUGAUGUUUGUGGGUAUCAUCGCUGGAAACCCUCACGAGACUAUAACUCGUCCACUAGGGCCGCCUAGGGGUUUAAAGGCUUGUUGCAUACGCUAAAUGCAAUCGCGAUCACCUGCGAAAGUGGUUUAGUUAGAAUUUUCUUUUCGUAGUUUUUAUUUUAGUUUUUGCUCGAGGACUAGCAAAAUGUUAAGUUUGGGGGUAUUUGAUGUGCUCAUAAUUUAUCUAUUAUUUUAAUGCUUCCAUAACUUAAUUUUAUGUUAAAUUAUAUUUUAUUAUAUUAAUUUUUAUCUUAAUUUUUAUAUUUUGUCAUUGUAGGAAUAUUGAGAAUAUUCAUGAGAAAAGAAGCUUAAAGAGGAAACAAGUUGGAGUAUAAUGGAAAUAAUGUGGAAGCAAGAGGGAAAGAAAUAAAAAGCCAAAUCAAAGAAAAUUUAAUUUAAGCAUCAUGCAUGCAGUCACGUGAUGAAUAAAGGAAGAGAAGAAAAGGUCAAUAGGCUUUUAAUUUCAAGCUAGUUACGUAGAGCCCAUUUGACAAUUUAAAUGGCAAGCUUACAAUAUAUUAAAGGAAGCAAAUAUUUUGGCAUUGUUUGAAAAGGCUAUUCACGUGGAUGGGCUUUGGUUUCAAUUUUGAUUGGCUUAGGAAUGAAAUAGGCGGCUGGGCUUUUGUUUUUAAUUCCUUUCAUAAGAGGAUUUGACAAGCCACAACAUUAUAAAAAGGGAAAAGCCAAGCGGAAGCCAAAAAAAAAAAAAAAAUAAUAGAGCAGCAGCCGCAAGUUUUGAGCAAAACCGAGAGCAGCAUGAAUAAUUUGGAGCAGAAGGAAGACACAUUAAUUCUUGAGUUUUUCUUUCUCUCUUCUCUAUUAUCUUAUUUGAAUGUUUCCCAUUAAAUUCAUGGAUUAUCUUUAUAUUCCCAUGAACUAAUUUAUUUUACUAGAGCUACGAUGUCCUAGUGUUUUAAUCUCUUGGUGAUUUCUAUUACUGCUUGCAUCUUUAUUUGAUUUUUAGUUAUUUUAAUUUUUAAUUUAAAUUCGCUUAUUUGAUUGUUCAAAUAAAUUAGGGUUAGGAUAAUUUCGGUAACUAAUAGGAUAUUCAAUCUCAGUGGGAUGAUACUCUACUCUUCACUAUAUUACUUGUGCCGACUAGUACACUUGCUAAUUUAUGCAAUAGUUGACAGUUGGGAGUGAAUGGAGGCCCUUGACGAAACUUCAGUAAACUUCAGAUUUCAGUUUGUUUGCUCGAAACUUGCAUGGUGACAAGGAUACUGGCAAGGAUAAUGAGAUAGUUUUUGUGUGAAUGAAAUUAUGAUUAUCCUCAGCCUCAGGUAAUUUCUUCUCCUGCUUAGUUGUUAUUUGUUACCUAAUUAAGAAGCAUAAAGUAUCUUGAAUCAUUUUCGUUGUCUGGAAUAUAUGCAACAAUUUUUAAAAUUUUGAUAUGAGUGCAAUGAUUGUAAUUUCUGUUUUCUGUCUGUCAUCGAAUGUAAGACAACUUUAUUAAGAUUCUUGAACCGAGUCAUUUUUGACAAUUGAAGGACAAGUGCUGAAGAGUGGGAAUGCAAAAAGUUUUGUUGUUUUUAGCCUUGUUUUCUUUGAACCAGCGCCUGAUUCACAAGACUCCAUUAAUUUGGCUUUUGAUCAGCUGAUUGAUAAAUGUUCAAUUUCUUUGGUGAUAAAUGUAAUUGUGAAGCAGGCAGCAGGGCAUGACUGUGGAAAAGAGAAGAUUUUAGUGAAAGCCGAGACUCAGAUAAUUCUACGCGUUUUGGUUGAUUUAUAUAAUUCGUGAAAUUUUAUUUCCAUCUGUUACAAGAUCAAACUGCAAUUAGCAAUUUAACAUUCCCUUAAAACCACUAGCUACAUUUCAUCUUUGCACAAUUACACUUAAAAUUCCACUAAAAGAAACUCUUGAGUUGCUCGCAAGCUAUAUAUCAUUAUUCAUUGAAUUCUUACUGUUGAUGCGAGAUUCUGGUUACACUCUUCCGGCUACCAGGAUAUCUGCUCGAUCAACCUCACCUCGACUAGGAUCUCUCCUCGUAUGCUUUCUUCUCCAAGUACUCAUGCGUUCACAGAAACAAGUCAGAGCACGCCGGUUGUUUUCCCGGCGUAAACCCUCCGACGCUCAAGUCAGAUAUGAAGGCUUUGGGAACGCUUGCCACAGAUCUUAUGGCUUUGUAAAUAGUUUUCUCUUCUUUUCAAUUUCCUUAAUCUCUCUUCUAAUCUCGAAAUUGCUAACCCUUUUACCUUCGCUGGCUACCUUUUUAUAGGCCACUUCUGAGCCCAGGCCUUUUUCCCUUUGCGCUCGUCAUCCUCCCACUUCUCGAAAGUGGAUGCUCCAUUUCCGUAGUCGUGGGUGGUUGCGUGGCCCUCGUGCCUAGAUUCUCGGACUGGAAAGCAUGCCACGCCAACUGUCGUUGACCGGGUCUUCUCGAAUCAACCCUUAGCAGGAAUACAGCAGGAAUGGCUUCAGGCUUCUUAUAGGAGAUUGGCCUCGCGGAUGACGUGCUCGUGGACGAGCAGGGUAUUCCUGCUCCUGCUCCUGCUCCCCCGGAUGCCAGGCUCUUACGGGACCCAUCGGCUCGCAGAACUCUACCAUCAGAUAUCUGCUCAUCAUGCCUGGUCUCGUCGACGUAUUUCUCCUAAACACCGGUCCCCCAGUUUCUGGUGUUGGGUAAUGUAGUGGACCAGCAGUAGAAACUCGACAGUACUUGCUCGCGUGGGGUUGGAAAAGGCUUCCAAGAGUCAUGUCGCAUUUAAUUGCGGACGAGGUGAUGUGGCAGAGAUCUAACCCUCCAUUUGAAUUUCAAACCAACGGUUACGAGACCCUUGGGAUUUGGUGCCGUUAAAUGCUGGCAACCCAAGAUUUCGUCCCCAUUAGGAAACCCAAAUCCUUUCGAACGACAAAUUCAUCAUUCACUCCGUCUCCAUCUCUGUCUCUCCGGCAAAGAAGUUCCAGCAUAAAGGCCUCCAUCUCUGUCUUUCACCGACUGAACCAUUACUUCAGGUAUUUCUUCUAUUUCCUUAGUCUCGGAUAGUUGUAGAUAAUUUCUCUUCUCUUUUGCUUGGGUAGUAGUUGGUGGUGGUGUUGUGGUUAGAGCUUAGGGAAUGUCGAAAGGCAAAGAGAAUGUCAUUGAGGUUGACGACGAUGAGUUGGACUUCCUGCCUAGUUUGCUCACCGAUCCUGCUUUUGACCCCGGGAUCCCCUUAGAGCUCAUUAGAUCUAGUGUUGGCACUAGCGCUAGGAGGAUGUCCCCCCAAACAACCUCCACGAGUGGAAGUAGUGGUGAGGAGAGACCCUCUGGCUCGGAAGACACCCUAAGUGAGGAUCAAUGAGGUGACUCUGGGGAGGGGUCUUCACCAGGAACACCGCGACCAGAAGGGUGUAGUACAGUAGGAGGUAGAGCCUUGUCGCGGGAUUAUGCCAUUGAUUACAUGACCUGUACGACCACAUUCAACGAGCUGGAUGACCUCCGGCUCAGGUAUAGCAUUCCUGGUGAAAUUCCUCUCAAGAUCCCAGGAAAGAAGGAUACACCUAGCCGGCCUCCUCGGGGAUACGUUACCCUAUUUUUGGAGAGUUUUAGGCAUGGGCUGAGGUGUCCCUUGCAACCCUACUUUGCCCGGAUUCUUAACGGGCUAAACCUAGCUCCUGGUCAGCUGAACCCCAACGGGUGGAGAGUGCUCUCUGGUCUGUUCAUACUGUGGGACAGAUGUUGUCAAAGCGAGCCCACGGUCGACGAGGUGAAGCACCUGUACCAACUGAAAAGCAGCCCCAAAGACGUCGGCUGGUAUUACUUCCAAUCAAGUACCAAGAUCAGAAAACCCAUAACCGAUCUUCUUACUGGUGAUGGUGGGAAUUGGAAGAGGAAGUUCUUCUUCGCAGGGGGUCCCUUGUUGUUUGCACUUCACUGGUUUGUCUCUAAUCAAAUGUUUGUUUGUGUUGCAGGUUCUUGGGGUGUCCACUUCCCGCUUAAACCUGACCAGCUCAAACGAGUCGAGGCUGUACUAGCCAAUUCCUGCUCGAACCGAGAGCUGUUAACUAUAUACAACUUGCUCGAGUCUCGCUUGAUGCUUCCUGGCCAUAGGAUGGAGGACGCUGUGAUUGGGGCUCUGACCAGGAAACGUUCUCGACCUCCAACCACGAAGAGGGACCAGAGUAAGGACGCCCCUACUGCAAAGCGGGCCAACGUCGUGCAGCAGGUCUCUCCCUUGAAGACUUUACCUCCUGCUCCUGUCAAAGUCGGGGAAACUAGUGGAGCAGCCACAGAUCCUGCUUCCUCUUCUUCUCCUGUCGGCACUCGGUCUCGCUUACCUGACAGCCGAUCAGAACAAUUGGUCCCCUAUCUCAAUGAGUUAUCUAACCUCGUGAGCAAGAAUGACAUGGAGGACUUCGAUGGCUGCACCUUGGGUGAGCUGGUGGGGGCCAUGCAGUAUAGCGCUUUUCACCUCAGCUGCAUGACCACCUAUUACAAGGCCAAGGUUGGGCGCUACGACCGAAAGAUGAAGGAGGACAUUCAAUCGGCGACGACUAGAGCUGGCGUUGCCGAGAAAAAGGCAGGGGAGCUGAAUGUUGAGAACCUCAAGCUGAUGGAGCAGGAAUCUCUUGCUCAAGCAAAAGCCAUUACCCUCGAGGAGGAGCUGACCAAGGUCAAGGGGGAUCUGCAAAGGCAGAAGGCCACGUAUGAGGCUCAGCUCGAAUCCCUCCGCGACUCCCACCGGGCUCACGUCGAGAACUUGGAGAGGGAGGCCAAGAACCAGUAUGACCAGGGACUUCGGCAUUCCUAUCGUUGCAUCAUGGCCGUCCUCGGGAAGCAGCACCCUGAUCUGAAGAUGGAUGAUCUUGCAGUUGGUGUUGCUCAACAUAUGGACGAGGAAGCGGCCAAGGAAGAUGCCGAAGGGGUAGAGCCGAUCGUGAUUGAGGGGGAAAACUCUCCUCCUCGCACAAUCCCUGCUGACGUUGGCGAGGCGAGCACCGCUACUGAUGUUGGCGAGGCGCGCACCCCCCCGGACGCAACUGGUGAUACCCCCCCCCCGCACCUGAGGAGGUCCAGCCAACCAAUGCUGCUCGGCUUACUGAUCCGCCAUCUUCUUGAUAUAUUUCUUGUAUUGUAAUGAACAACGUUGAUGGAGAUUAUCUCCUCUGUUAAUUAUUAACACAUAAAUAAAGAUGUUUUUGAUUAUUUUCGUGUUGUAAUCAUGAGUUAUUUUUCGUUUAAUAAUCUGCCCGUCAUCGUCUGGUUGAGCAGGUUCUGGCCUGGCAUAUGGUUUUACCACAUGCCCUAGAAAAUUCUUCAAUGAUUGAGAUUCUGCUCGCCUUCGCGUGGUCGAGCAGAUCCUGGCACGCUUGGCUUCUGUCUCGCCAUAAACAGGCUUUGAGACUCGACGAGCCUUUGCAUGCCUUAGAAAUAUUUUUUUUUUUCGAUGCUUGGGGGUUCUGCUCGCCUUCGCGUGGUCGAGCAGACCCUGGCACGCUUGGCUUCUGUCUCGCCAUAAACAGGCUUUGAGACUUGACGAGCCUUUGCAUGCCUUAGAGAUUUUUUCGAUGCUUGGGGAUUCUGCUCGCCGUCACGUGGUCGAGCAGAUCUUGGCACGCUUGGCUUCUGUCUCGUCAUAAACAGGCUUUGAGACUUGACGAGCCUUUGCAUGCCUUGGAGAUUUUUUCGAUGCUUGGGGAUUCUGCUCGCCGUCACGUGGUCGAGCAGAUCCUGGCACGCUUGGCUUCUGUCUCGCCAUAAACAGGCUUUGAGACUUGACGAGCCUUUGCAUGCCUUAGAGAUUUUUUCGAUGCUUGGGGAUUCUGCUCGCCGUCACGUGGUCGAGCAGAUCCUGGCACGCUUGGCUUCUGUCUCGCCAUAAACAGGCUUUGAGACUUGACGAGCCUUUGCAUGCCUUGGAGAUUUUUUCGAUGCUUGGGGAUUCUGCUCGCCGUCACGUGGUCGAGCAGAUCCUGGCACGCUUGGCUUCUGUCUCGCCAUAAACAGGCUUUGAGACUUGACGAGCCUUUGCAUGCCUUAGAGAUUUUUUCGAUGCUUGGGGAUUCUGCUCGCCGUCACGUGGUCGAGCAGAUCCUGGCACGCUUGGCUUCUGUCUCGCCAUAAACAGGUUUUGAGACUUGACGAGCCUUUGCAUGCCUUGGAGAUUUUUUCGAUGCUUGGGGAUUCUGCUCGCCGUCACGUGGUCGAGCAGAUCCUGGCACGCUUGGCUUCUGUCUCGCCAUAAACAGGCUUUGAGACUUGACGAGCCUUUGCAUGCCUUGGAGAUUUUUUCGAUGCUUGGGGAUUCUGCUCGCCGUCACGUGGUCGAGCAGAUCCUGGCACGCUUGGCUUCUGUCUCGCCAUAAACAGGCUUUGAGACUUGACGAGCCUUUGCAUGCCUUAGAAAUUUUUCACAGUUUCAAGUGAAUGAAAUUCCUCGACGUUCCAUUAAUUGUAGGAUUCAACUUACAUGAAAAUGUUUGGUCGUAAAAUAAAUAACAGCAAAUACGAACAGAAAGAUCUUGAAAAUAUUAACGACUCUUACUGGAAAUAUUUCCUGAGAUGUGCUGCGUUCCAUGGGCGCUUCACCUCGUGGCCAUCCAUGCGAACCAGCUUGUAAGCUCCUGGUCCCACUAGCUGCUUGACUCUAUAUGGCCCCUCCCAAUUUGGACCGAGCACUCUUUGAGUCGAGUCUUUGGUGUUCUGAUUCACUCUCCUUAACACCCAAUCUCCGACCUUGAACUGCCGUAUGUUCACCUUCUGGUUAUAAUACCGGGCAACCCUCUGCUGGUAAAUGACUGAUCGCUCGGCUGCUUGCUCCCUCUUUUCCGUUAGCAGAUCAAGAUUCAAACAUAUCUGCUCGUCGUUCUCCUGUUCAUUGAAAUGAUAUGUCCGGUGCGUGGUCGUUCCUAUCUCAGUUGGCACGACCGCUUCAUGUCCAAAAGCCAAGGCGAACGGUGUCUCCCCAGUUGCUGUUUUGUGGGUUGUUCUGUAUGCCCAUAGCACACCUGACAGCUCAUCAACCCAUGCACCCUUUUUUGCUCCCAGCCUGGUUUUCAAAAGCCUCUUGAUGGUCUUGUUGGCUGCUUCUACUUGUCCAUUCGAUUGGGGGUGAGCAGGCGAGCAAUACUUCAGCUCUAUUCCGAGGUUCUGGCAGAAAUCCCUGAAGCUGUGAUUAUCGAAUUGUCUGCCAUUAUCCGUUACCAGGGCAUAAGGGAUCCCGUAUCGACAGACCAGGUUUCUCCACACAAAGUCUGUUGUUUUCUUCUCUGUGAUCUUGCUAAGGGCUUCUACCUCUAUCCAUUUCGUGAAGUAGUCUAUAGCAACUAUUGCAUGUGUUGCUGCUCCUCGUCCCUUUGGCAGCGGGCCGAUCAGAUCAAUUCCCCAUUGAGCAAAUGGCCAAGGGGAGGCCAUAGAGGUGAGCUUUUCUGGUGGUUGGUUGGAGAAACUUGCAAAACUCUGGCAACUUACACAGCUCCUGGUCUUCUCCUGUGCAUCCUGGUGCAUUGUCGGCCAGAAAUAUCCCUGCCUUAGAACCUUGUGGGCCAGGGACCUCCCACCAGAAUGAUUCCCGCAAAUUCCUUCAUGUACUUCUCUCAGUACGUAAUCUGCGUCGUCCUCAUCCAAACAUCGGAGGAAAGGUAGUAUAUAUCCUCGCCGAUACAGUACCCCAUCAAUCAUCGUGUAUCUUGAGGCCUGGGCUCUAACCUUCCGAGCUCGCAGCUUAUCUGGUGGUAAUACCCCGUCUCUGAGGUAUGAAAUUAUCGGGUCCAUGCACGAGCAUUUUUGUUCUAUCCGCAACACCCCCAAAUUCUGCUCGAUACUUGGGCUGGACUUCACCUCCAGAGGGACCGACUUUGGCAUUUUUGGGUCGGCUACUGCUGCCAUCCUGGCCAAAGUGUCUGCUCGACUAUUCUGCUCCCUGGGGAUCUGUAUCACCUCCACUGCUUCAAAUUUCCCCAUCAUCUGCCUGACUAUCUUCAGGUACUGCUCCAUCUUCUUCUCUCUUGGUUGGAAUCUUUCGCUGACAUGAUUCGCAACCAGCUGGGAAUAAGUUCUGAUCUUCACUCUGUCUGCUUUCACGGCCUUAGCCAAUUCCAAACCUGCUAUCAAGGCUUCAUACUCUGCCUGGUUAUUUGUGGCUCCAAAUUCCAACUUCACAACAUAAGAGAUCUCCUCCCCCUCCGGGCCUUCCAAGACAAUCCCUGCUCCAGAACCCUGCUCCCCUGAUGACCCAUCCACAUACAUCUGCCAUACUUGAGCUUCGCCACUGUCUGUGACUACAUCUGGUCCAUCUAAACAUACUUCGGGCUCUGUGAAUUCAGCUACGAAAUCGGCCAUUGCCUGAGCCUUUAUCGCUGCUCGGGGUUUGUAGUCUAUGUCGAACUCGCUCAGCUCUAUAGCCCACUUGACGAGCCGACCAGAAGCAUCUGGCUUGUGCACAGUUUGACGCAAUGACUGGUUUGUUAUUACCGAGACCGGGAAUGCUUGGAAAUAUGGCCUCAACUUCCGAGCCGCAACCACAAGGGCAAGUGCCCAUUUCUCCAACGGUGGGUAUCUGGUCUCAGCGUCGAGCAGGGCCUUGCUUGUGUAGUAUAUCGGAUACUGAACUCCUUCUUCCUCUCUCACCAGAACAGAACUGGCGGCCCGAUCCGAUACCGCCAAAUACAGAUAUAACUUGUCCCCAUCCCUCGGUGUGGACAGUAGUGGAGCUUGCUGCAAGUAUUGCUUCAAGUUCUGGAAGGCUUCCUCGCAUUCUGGUGUCCAUUCUGUUUUCUUUCCCCUCCUUAUCACUUAAAAGAAUGGCUGACACUUGUCUGUAACCUUGGAUAUGAAUCUGCUCAACGCAGCCAACCUCCCCGUGAGGCUCUGCAUCUCCUUCAGGUUACGAGGAGACCUCAUCUGCACAAUUGCCUGGAUUUUCUCCGGAUUUGCUUCAAUCCCCCUAUGGCUCACCAUGAAUCCAAGGAAUUUCCCUGACUCGACCCCAAAAGCACACUUCUCCGGGUUGAGCUUCAUCUUAUACUUCCUCAAAAGCCCGAAUGUCUCCUCGAGGUGCCUGACAUGUUCCUUCGAGAUUUUGGAUUUGGUGAUCAUGUCGUCCACGUACACCUCCAUGGUUUUCCCAAUCAACGGCUUAAAGACUUUGUUCACCAGCCUCUGAUAGGUGGCCCCAGCAUUUUUUAGACCAAAUGGUAUUACCCUGUAACAGAACAAACCCUGGUUAGUGAUGAAAGCCGUGCUCUCCUCAUCCUGCUCGUACAUGGGGAUUUGGUUGUAUCCCGAGAACGCGUCCAUGAAACUAAGCAGACCGUGUCCAGCCGUUGAAUCUACUAGUUGAUCGAUCUUUGGUAAAGGGAAGCUGUCUUUUGGGCACGCCUUAUUAAGGUCUGUGAAAUCCACACACAUCCUCCACUUGCCAUUUGCCUUCUUUACCAACACCACAUUCGAUAUCCAUUCAGGGUAAUUGACUUCCCGAAUGAACCCUGCUCUCAAGAGCUUCUCCACCUCGACAUUUAUAGCCUCAUACCUCUCCUGAUUGAAGCACCUCCUCUUCUGCCUUACUGCCCGAGCACCUUUCUUUAUUGCCAGCUUAUGACAUGCUACCUCAGGGUCAAUCCCUGGCAUAUCUUCAUGUGUCCAAGCAAACACAUCUGCAUGAGCCUGUAAGCAUUUCACUAACUCCUGCUUUUGCUCUCCCUUAAGUCUCGACCCGAUUCUGAUUGUUUUUCCCGGAUUCUCUGGUCCCAGGCUUACUGUUUCCAGAUCCUCUACAGGUUCUUGUCUGCCAUUCUUGUUUUCCACUCGGGUAUCGAGGGAUGUUAUCUGCAUUGCUUCCCUUGCUGCUGAGGAGUAGCAGCUUCUUGCGAUCCUCUGAUCUCCUCGUACCACUCCAACUACCCCAUUCACCCGGUACUUCAGAGCCAGAUAAUGGUUGGACAGCAUCGCUUUGCUCAUCCUCAGAAAUGGCCGACCUAGGAUCAUCUGGUAAGGACCUUCCUCAUCCACUACCAUAAAGUCCAGUAUCAUUGUCCUUUCUGUCGGGGAGCUCCCAAUCGUGAUAGGCAGCUCGACCAUGCCCAGAGGGACCAGCCUUCCUCCUCCAAACCCCUUCAAGGAGGUAUUGGUGUAAUCCAACUUCAGGUCUGCUAUUCUCAUCUCCUUCAGGGUUGACUUAAACAACACAUCAACUGAACUCCCUGUGUCAACCAGUAUCCUGUCAAACUUCUUGCUAGCAACAGUGGCCUUGAUGACCAAAGCAUCCUCGUGGGGGUAUAUGAUCCCUUCUUCAUCCUCAUCUGUCCACAUGAUUGGCACUUGCCUGACUCUUGCACGUUUGGCUGCUGGGGUGUUGAAGAAUACCUUUUUGCUGGUCAUGGCGUAUCUAGCAUAAUUUUUCCUCGAUCUGUUAGAAUCUCCGGCCAAUGUUGGGCCCUCAGCUAUAACCCUUACUGCAGGCUGCUCGCGCCUCAAGUUCCUGUCACUCUGCUCCCCUUCACUUGUUGAGGCUACCAUUGGGAAGGUCCCAUCUACGAACUCGUCCAGAUACCGAUUUCUCACUAAAUCUUCAACCUGGGUCUUAAGAUCUCUGCAAUCUGCUGUGGUGUGGCCAUGAGUGCCAUGGAACUUACAAUAGCGUCCCCUAUCCCUCAUGCUGGGUAGCUUGGUUAUUGGAGCAGGGAGGUAUAGCAACCCCCGAUCCUUUAUGGCCUCGUACACCUCGUCCAGGGACAUCUUCAAGGAAGUGUACCGCCCAUAGUCCUAGUUCUGGUCGAUCAGGUGUACUGCUCUUUCUCUGUUUGCUCCGUUCUGGGUUGGGGGCGGUGGCAGUACUUCUGGUCUGCUCCCUCUGCUACCGUGGGAGUGUUGAUGAGCACCAUAUGAUGAAUCAUGCCUUCUCCAAGGCUCCCUAGCUGUGGAACGAGGAGGCUGCGCCCUGCUGCGCUGAUACUGUGGUGGGCUCUGAUGAGGCUGGUAAGCAAUUACCCGACCUCCUGCUCCAUUACCCGAGGCCUGGUGGUCCCUCCUCCUGAUCGGCCCAUUCCCCGGUAAUGCUUUCUUCUCUUUCCUCCCCAACCCUUCUAACUGGUCUAUCUUAAUUCGUGCUGCCUUCUCCUCUUCAAUCUCAAUGUCUCUCUUAGCCUGCUCGUAUGCGGCCGCAUACGUCUGGAUAGCUGGGCUUCUCAAAUUGUACCACAGCCUUCCUAUCUUCACCCUUUCUUUCAAUCCCCUUAACGCCUGAGGGUGGUUGAAGGCUCCCAAGUCGAGGACAGCCCGAUGAAACCUCUUGAUGAAUUCCCGAAGGGUUUCUUGCUCCCCCUGUUUCAUGCUUUUCAGCUCCAUCAUGUCAUCUUCUGGGGCCAUUGCCCCACUAAACUGCUCUGCGAAUUCCUGGCACAUCUGCUCGAAGGUUUUAAUGCUGCCCCGAGGAAGUUUCCUGUACCACUCGCGUGCACGUCCCUCCAGGGAUAGUGGAAACACCCUGCACCUUUGGGGCUGAGAUAAUCCUUGUACCCCCGUUAUGUCAUUGAAGCGUUCUAUGUGCACCAGCGGAUCAGUUCGUCCCGAAUAUCUAAGGUCCGGGAGACGGAAAUCCCUCGGAAUAAUUGCCCUCAUGAUCUCUGCUGCGAGCAGUGAUUCUCCGUCCAGCAUUAUCCUCCAACCAGGAGCUCUGCUCCUUCCUUGCAUAUCGUCAAUUAUCUGCGCUAGUCUGCGCACUUCCUCCUCCAGCUGUACUGCACGACCAGGGUCACGUGCUGCAACUUGAUCCCUCUCUUGCUCUACAUCAUGCAAGUGUUGCCUCAACUCUGUUUCUUCUGCAUUCGCCACCCCGUCGUCCUCGUAAAAAAUCUGUCUUGCCGGGGAUUGCUCUUCUUCUCUAUGAAAUUCUCCCCGUAGAGGUAUGUUACCUCUCUCACCACUAAAUCUCCCGGUGGUUUGACUUCUCCUCGUACCAUCGGGACCUGGUGUCACUCCACCACCUCUCACCAUUUCCUCCUGGGUUACCCUUCGUUCACUCCGCAACUCAUGCAGGAUGGUUGUCAGGGUCUCCAUCUGCUUUUCCAUCCGUUCCAUCCGGUCGAACAUGGCUUUUUCCCGUGCUUCGCUGGCUAUCUCCCUCAGCGUUACAGAAUCGUUAAGCCUCAUAUCACCCCCUUGUGCACUACUUCCUCCUGCCUCCAUUGCUUUUCACUUGCUUCACUCCUCUUCUUGCUAUCAACAGAAGCUUUUUGCUCAGCUCCCCACAGACGGCGCCAAAAUGUUGAUGCGAGAUUCUGGUUACACUCUUCCGGCUACCAGGACAUCUGCUCAAUCAACCUCACCUCGACCAGGAUCUCUCCUCGUAUGCUUUCUUCUCCAAGUACUCCUGCGUUCACAGAAACAAGUCAGAGCACGCCGGUUGUUUUCCCGGCGUAAACCCUCCGACGCUCAAGUCAGAUAUGAAGGCUUUGGGAACGCUUGCCACAGAUCUUAUGGCUUUGGAAAUAGUUUUCUCUUCUUUUCAAUUUCCUUAAUCUCUAUUCUAAUCUCGAAAUUGCUAACCCUUUUACCUUCGCUGGCUACCUUUUUAUAGGCCACUUCUGAGCCCAAGCCUUUUUCCCUUUGCGCUCGUCAUCCUCCCACUUCUCGAAAGUGGAUGCUCCAUUUCUGUAGUCGUGGGUGGUUGCGUGGCCCUCGUGCCUAGAUUCUCAGACUGGAAAGCAUGCCACGCCAACUGUCGUUGACCGGGUCUUCUCGAAUCAACCCUUAGCAGGAAUACAGCAGGAAUGGCUUCAGGCUUCUUACAGGAGAUUGGCCUCGCGGAUGACGUGCUCGUGGACGAGCAGGGUAUUCCUGCUCCUGCUCCUGCUCCCCCGGAUGCCAGGCUCUUACGGGACCCAUCGGCUCGCAGAACUCUACCAUCAGAUAUCUGCUCAUCAUGCCUGGUCUCGUCGACGUAUUUCUCCCAAACACUUACCACAUAUAUGUCACCUUUCAAUCAAUUGUUGAAAAAUUCAAAUUUGGAAUUCAAAUACAUGCAUUCAAAUUUGGAACACUUUGAACGGUCCGAUUCAAAACUUCAUAUUCCAAUUAUAUUCAUAAGACAAAUGGAACACUUUGAACGGCUUGUGUCCGAGCAUUGUAGUUUGAUUUAUUUUGAUGACAUUACCUUUUGACAUUGAGAUUCUUUCAGGAUUUAAACAUUCUUUUUAAAACCAAAUUAUUAAAAAAAAAUAACUAACAUAUAUUAUUUUAUUAGUGCUUUUUAAAUCAAAUAUACAUAGGAGAACUGUAAUUCUUAGCAAUCAAUUUUCCACUAAAUACACCUGCAACAAACUAUUAAUAACAAAGUGAUAGAAAAUACCUGAUUUUUCAUACUUUCUAAUUUCUUUUGGUCCUAAAAUAUGGGCAUUUGUGUAAUAAUAAGCCCAUGUGGAUCUCUAUGCCAUGAGUUUGAUAAAUAGCUAUCAAGGAUCACUUAUUAAGCUAAAAAUAUUUGGAGGACAAAAUUGUAAAACUAAAAGGGUGGAGCAAAUAUGGCUAUCUAGGAUUAAAUAGUAAGUCAACUAUAUUUAAAGGAUAAAAUAUUAAAACUUGAAUUGUGAUAUUAAAAAUAUCUCAACUAUUAUAUUAUUAAACCAUAUGUUCUAAUAGUUUUUUUUUUAAGCUUCAAAAUGUUCAGGAUUUUAGAUUGAAACAUUUUCAAUUGAAAUAAUUUGGUGCAGUCACAAGUUAAGAAAGAAAAAGUUGUCCCAUUGGUCAUUUCACAAAAAUGAAAGCCCUGUAUAACAUGGACGUGAAUGGAAACCCAAUUGUUUGUGUUUGAUUAAUUGAUUUCAAGCUUUAUCUAACCUUUGGACCUGGAUACUUUACUGCGGCCUCUAAGCGCUAUAAAUUUUUUUGGGGAUAAACGGCGCUUCAAUGAGGGCAUCUCCAAUGCUUAACACCAUUUUGGUGUAACACCAACAUUAAAAAUAUACAUUUUUCACACUAAAUUACUAUUUCAUCUCCAACCCAUUUACACCAAAUUUUACACCAAAAAUAAUAUUUUUUUUAUUCUUUUAAUUCUCAAGAAUUAAUUCAAUUAACACAAUAAAUACUACUAUUAACAUAGAUAAUUAAGUAAUAAGUAAUUUUAUCAAUUAACAAAAAAAAUAGAAAAUUAUUAAAUUUGCAUUUAAUUAACUAAAUUAGUACAUUAUGAAAAUUAAACAUUACAUUAAUAUAGAAAAAUACAAUAAAAAUAAUAAUAAUUUUAUAUCUAAUAUUUUGAUGAUAUUGGAGGAUCUAAUAAUGAUCUUCCAGAUUAUUAAAUAAUUGUUCUAAUUUAUACUAGUAGUAGUAGCUUUUUUAAUUUGUGUUAAUUUAAUUUUGUAAUAUGUAAUAUAGUAAUUAAUGUUAUUGGCAUUUUAUUUUUAUUAUUAAUUUUUGUGUUGAAUUUUUUUAUUUAAAAUAUUAGUAUAAUAUUAAAAAAUUAAAAAUGAAAUAAAUAAUAACAAAAAUAAUAAUAAUAACUUAAAAUAUUAUAUAAAAAAGGACAUAUAUGUAAAUAAGAAAAAGUAAUAAAGAUAUUUAGGACUCUUUUUUCCUAGCACCAAAUGAAUAGUGUUACACCAUAUUUGGUGCAAUACUAUUCAUAACACCAAUUUGCUGUUCGUUUUGAUGUUACAUUGGAGAAGCAUUUUACACAAAAAAUGGUGUAAAAGGUAGUUUGGUGUUAGUUUUGGUGUCACAUUGGAGAUGGCCUGGAAAAACACUUGAAAACUUUGGAUUUUUGGUUCGUCCAGUUACGGUGUUAUGCUAAUGGGGUUAAAAGUUCCGAUCCAAUGAGUUAGGAUGGAAUAUGAAUAUAUAAAUUCCAUAGCAUGUAAGGACUAGGAUUUGUUUGUUCAUAUCAAGAAAAAAAAGAUCCGAAAAUUUGAUGAUCAGAAGAUGAAGACACGUUUAUUACAGAGAAACAAACGACAACAUGAUACUAGUAGUAGUUAUUCUUUUCAUCCGAUAUAUUACAUGGUAAUAUCACUACUCGUUCCACUGGUUUCAUAUACACCAUCGAUCAGCAACAUGAUAAUUUUGUGUCAGUUCAUUUUGUUUGUAGGAAAGAGCAGUGUAUUUCUUAGAGCUUGAAAAUAAUAAAAAGAUUUUAAAAUAUAAAUUGCAUAUUUGUUUAUUACAGUUGUUUGGUCUAAUUUCUUAUGUAGAAUUGCUUGUCAUUCUUUGGACGUUAUUGAUUAUAUUUUUGUCAGACUUGGCGUAUAUAUUCACACAUACGUUUUAUUUUGUCAUUUUGUAGAACAUUUUUACACGCCAUAUUAUCACGACUCUUCUCUGUCUGAAUAAGAAGAAAGCAUAAUGCGACCCUCCAAUAGCUUAAUCUAUGGAAUUAUCGUGUUUUGUAAGUUGAGGUCCAAUGGCGUUUUGGCACAUCAUAUGAUAGCCCACUAUAUUGCGUUGCUUUACAAAAGAUUAAUAUUUUGAAAAUUAUUAGGUAAGUUUAGGCUCAGUGGCACUUUAACUCAUGAUAUGAUUGUCCAGGUUUUCGAGGACCACUAUAUUCUAUUGAUUUAAAAAAAAUUAAUAUUUUUUAAUAUUAAUAUUCUAAAUUAUAUUCAGUUCAAAUAUUAAAUAUUAAAUACAUUCUUAAUAUUAAUAUUCUUAGAUGAAAUUCUUUUGCUGACUUAAGAAUAAAAUAUUAAAUAAUUUUAUUUUUCUUUUAUUCUGUAACGUGGACCCAAUAAAAAAAGGAAAUGAAUUUAAUAAAACCUUCAUUCAAAAUCUUCAUUCCGCCACCAUGCAUGUUAAUUGUUUCCAAAUUCCAACCUCCGUACUCUCUUGAGGAGUUUCCCAUUCAUCAAUUAUUAUUUUUUAUAAUCCAUACCAUCCUGAUAUAAUUAAACACCAUUAAUAAUGUACCAACCUUUAAAUAGUAAUUAAUUUAUUUAUCUAAUUCACCAAAUGUUUUUUCCGGUACAUAUCUCCAUUGGUAUCAAGAAGAAGCAGAACCCAAAGAAAUGUUUCUUGCAUCUUCAUAUUUGUGCGAAUUCAUCCUUUCAUUGAGAAUAACCAUUUCCAGGCAGCAGUUGGCAAUCAAUUCAUGCGCACGUCGAUGCUAUUCAUAGAUACUAAAGACAAUGAUGAACCAAAGGUGAUAAAUCAUAAAUGCAUAAUUACCAAACCUCCAUCCUUCUCUCAUUAUGAUUUGAUUUUAAAUGAAUUAUUGCUUGGUAACAUUAUUUCCAACCAUUGCAAGACCUUUUUUUUGGAGAAAUUUCAAUUGAAAGUGAAACCUUUAGACAUUUACCUAAUGAAGUUAGUUAAUCGGGAGGGUCGGAAAAAAAAAGUUGACGCAAGUCAAUACACAAUAAUCAAUUAAAUCCGGAGUGACUAAAACAGAGCCACUACUUUUUAAAAAAUAUCUGCAUUAAUCACUUUCUCCAGCAACUAGUCAGCUACACACGAAUCAAUUUCUCUCCUCGUUUGUCAUCCAAAAUUAUUCACCAAUACCAUGGCUGAUGCAAUCGUUUCCACUAUCUUGGAGCAGCUGAUUUCCUUCGCUGCUGAAGAGAUAAAACAACAGGUGAUCGAAGUUUCACCCCUCAUAUUACAAAUACUUCCAAUGAUUUUAAUUGGCUUUGUUUUUAUCAAAAACAUUAUAUAUUUUUGCUUUUUUUUUAUUUAUCUGAUAAUUUUAUAUUUUGAAAUUUGAAUUGAAUUUAAUUAAAAGGUGAUGUAGUAACCACUCAUUUUUAUUUUAUUUCAUUUCUAUUCUCGAUAACUAACCAUAUUUUGGUAACUUAAUAUGACUCUCGUACAUAAGAAAUGAUCAAAACCCACAAUUUUAACUAUGUAUAAAUAUUCAACGUUGAGCUAAGGUUUUGCAGAACAUUCAAGUUUAUCAAAUAGUCAUUAAUUUAAUGUUUUAGUAAAACCUCAACUCAUCACUGAAUCCCAUAGCUAUUACUUAGACUCUAUGAAAAAUUUCAUAGUUUUCUUACAUUCUUUCAGUUUGGUAAGUGAUUUCAUAUAAUUUCUGUUCAAUAUAAAUUUUAAUUUGGUUUCUUAUAUACUCUCUUUGCUGAAUUUGUAUCUUUUAUGAUUCUUAGAUUUUGGGCUCUAACAUUUUAGGAUUUGAUAGUCACAUUUUAUGCCAUGCUUAGAUUGAUUUUCAUGAUUUUUACUACCCAUUAAGUGACUUAGAAUUUGACAAAAGUUUGAAAGGAAAUCUGCUUCAGGAUUCUGUUUUAAUUGACCUUUUAGUGGAAAUAGGAUGCUUAUAACUUAAUGUGGAUGGUUCGUAAAAUCAUGAAAUUUGGAUAGAAUUAACUAGAAAUAUGUACAAGACUCUCCAUGAAGUCUCAUAAUUUUUCAUUCGGUCUGGGGUGGUACAGGUGAAACUUGUGGUUGGUGUUGAAAAAGAAGUGAAAAGCCUUACCAGCCAUCUUCAAGCCAUUCAAGUUGUGCUCGAUGAUGCAGAGGAAAAGCAAGUGAAGGAAAAAGCUGUUAGUCUUUGGCUGGGUAGGCUCAAGUAUGCAUCCUACGACAUUGAAGAUGUGUUGGAUGAGUGGAUCACAACAAGACGCAAAUUGCAAAUUGAGGGUGGCAUUGGUGAAAAUGCUCUUGUUGUUCCUCAUAAGAAAAAGAAGGUAUGUCUCUGCUUUCCCGGCUCUUGUUUUGGAUUCAAACAAGAAGAAUUUGGUUUCAAACAAGUCUUUCUCCGUCAUGACAUUGCCGACAAGAUCAAAGAAAUCAAUGAAGAGCUACAUGAUAUUGCCGCUCAAAAAGACAUGUUUGAUCUUGUUAAGAGUGGCAAUAAAAGUAGUGAAAGACCAAGGCGUGUACAGAGUACCUUCUUGAUUGAUGAGGAAGAGAUUUGUGGCAGAGUUGGUGAGAGGAAUGAACUCUUAAGCAAGCUGUUGUGUGAGAGUAGCGAGCAACAAAAAGGCCUUCAUAUCAUCUCAAUCGUUGGUAUGGGAGGCAUAGGGAAAACAACUCUUGCACAACUAGCUUGUAAUCAUGACGAGGUGAAGAGAAAGUUCGACAAAAUUCUGUGGGUGUGUGUAUCAGAAACUUUUGAGGAGUUUAGGGUUGCCAAAGCGAUCGUUGAAGUUUUGGAUGGUCGUGAAUCUCAUUUAGCUGAAUUCCAUUCUCUUCUUCAACAUAUUUAUGAAUCCAUUGCAGGGAAGAGCUUUCUUCUUGUCUUAGAUGACGUGUGGGAUGGAAAUUACUUGAAAUGGGAACCAUUCUACCGUUGUCUAAAGAAUGGUCUCCAUGGAAGUAAAAUUUUAGUUACCACACGUAAAGGGUCAGUCGCAUCCAUGAUGGGAUCCAUAGAUAUUAUCUCCGUUAAGGAGUUAGCUGAAGAGGAAUGUUGGUUGUUGUUUAACAAGAUAGCAUUUUUUGAUCGGUCCAUCGAGGAACGUGAAAAAUUAGAACAAAUUGGGCAAAGAAUUGCAGGCAAGUGCAAAGGUUUACCUCUUGCAGCAAAGACAAUAGGGAGUCUCAUGCGUUCUAAACAAACUGAAGAAGAGUGGAAAAGAAUUUUAAAUAGUGAUUUAUGGAAAGUAGAAGAGAUUGAGAAAGAUGUUUUGUCCUCUUUAUUGUUGAGUUAUAAUGAUUUGCCAUCUAGAGUAAAAAGAUGUUUUUCAUAUUGUGCUGUCUUUCCAAAAGACUACAAUAUAGAAAAAGACAAACUAAUCACGUUAUGGAUGGCUCAAGGUUAUCUUAGUGCAGAAGAAGAUGAAGAGAUGGAGACAGUAGGUGAAGAGUAUUUUGGCAUCUUAGCUUCUCGCUCAUUUUUUCAAGAGUUUAAGAAAAGUUAUGAUAAUCGGAUUAUAGAGUGUAAGAUGCAUGAUAUGGUACAUGAUUUUGCCCGAUUUGUAAGUCAAAAUGAAUGUUUUUCGAUGGCAAUCAAUGGUAGUGAAGAACCAAACGCCACAAACUCUCUUGAUGAGAAGGUCCGUCAUUUAAUGUUAAUCUUUAGUAUAGAGGCUUCAUUACCUGUUUCCACUUGUAGAGUUAAAAGAAUUCGUAGCCUCUUAAUUAACGAUAGUAGAUCUGAUCAUUCAUUAUUAAAUGGUGAGAUCCUAGAAGAAUUAUUUAGGGAAUUGACAAGUUUAAGGGCAUUAGAUUUUUGCAAAUCGUAUAACGCAAGUUGGUCUUCGACUCUGGAGAUUCCGAGAAACAUAGAAAAGCUGGUACAUUUAAGAUACCUUAAUUUGUCUUAUCAGGGAAUAAAGAAACUACCGGAGACAUUAUGCGAGUUGUAUAAUCUAGAAAAGUUAGAUAUUAGUUAUUGUUAUAAGCUAGAAGAAUUACCUGAAGGGAUUGGGAAGUUAAUAAACAUGAAGCAUUUACGAAAUAGAGGUACUAGUUCUUUAAGGUACAUGCCAGUAGGGAUUGGGAGAUUAACGGGUCUUAGGACCUUGGGUGAGUUCCACGUGAGUGCAGGAGGAGGUGUUGAUGGUAGGAAAGCAUGUAGGCUUGAAUCUCUUAAAAACUUGGAACACCUUCAAGUAUGUGGUAUAUGUAGACUGGGUGAUGUAUCAGAUGUGGGCGAGGCUAAGCGAUUAGAACUUGACAAAAAGAAAUACCUCUUCAGUUUGACCCUCGAGUUUGAUAAGACGGAAAGAGGAGGAGAAAGGAGGAAGAACGAGGACGAUCAACUUCUUCUUGAAGCCUUGCGACCACCCCUGGAUUUAAAGGAAUUAGAGAUACGGUACUACCGAGGCAACACUGUUUUCCCCAGCUGGAUGGCGUCAUUAACCAACUUAAAGAGUUUACAUCUCCAUAGGUGCGAAAAUUGCGAGCAGCUGCCUCCUUUGGGAAAAUUGCCGUCCCUUGAAAAUCUCUACAUAUGGCGCAUGGAGAGUGUGAAGAGAGUGGGUGAUGAAUUUUUGGGGAUAGAAAGUGAUCAUCAUGACUCAUCGUCAUCUUCAUCAGUUACUAUUGCCUUCCCCAAAUUGAAAUCACUCACAAUUUAUUCGAUGCUGGAAUUGGAGGAGUGGGAUUAUGAGAUUACAAGAACAGGAAACACCGUCAUCAACAUCAUGCCACGUCUUUCUUCCUUGACAAUUGUUGAUUGCACCACAUUAAAGGCACUGCCCGACCACAUUCAUCAAACGACAACGUUGAAGGAAUUGAGCAUUUUUAUGUGUUGGCUUCUGAACAAACGUUACCGCAAGGGGAAAGGAGAAGACUGGCCUAAAAUAUCACACAUUCCCAACCUCCGUAUUGGGCUUUGACAAGUAAUUUCUUCUCUCACUCUGAUUUGCUUUGUUGUUGUUUUUAAUCUAAUUAAGAAGCGAAAAUAGCAUUUUGAAUCAAACUCUAUAUCAGAAAUCUGCAAUACUUACUUUCUAAUAUUCUGAUUUUCAUAUCCUAUGAAUAUACGAUUUUUAAUUUGUGAGAUGGGUAACGUUACUGUAAAAGAUUAUUAAUGCAAUAUGAGUAAUUCUUUUGCAGGACAAGUGACCUACAUUUAGUUUGGCUUUGGAGUUGAAUAAUAACCUUUCGUGGUCCCGACAACCAAAAAACAAAGCUUAAUUUGCCACAGAUUGAACGUAUUGCCAUUAUUGACAAUUUUCUGCACAAGCGUGACUGAACUUAGGUUGAUGUCAAAAGAGGUAAAUUAUUGGCAUGCCUGACUAUUUUGACCAUUACAUGAUUCAUAAGUUUACAUUAAUUUUGAUUUUGAGUUGAGUGAUUAGUUUUCUAGGUUUGCUUACUUUAACUGGGUGACCAAUUUCUUGUAACUAAAUGUAUGAUGUGAUGCAGGAAGCAGGGCAGGAUAUGAAAAGAGAAGCUUAUUAGAGGAAGGAUUGCCAGUAACAGAAUCCAAAGAAAAAGAAACCAUUUCGAGGCAGCUGUUGGCAGUUGGCAGUGAAUGGAGCCCCUUGAAAAAAUUCCCAGGCCGUUGCACUGCAAUUACGAUCAUCCUCGGCCUCAGGUAAUUUCUUCUCCUGCAUUUUUGUUAUUUGCUAUCAAGUGACUAUUUUAAGUAUGAUUGCAUUAAGCUUCUGCUGGGAAAUUUGAGGUUUUGAUGACUGCCCAUGCUAUUGUCAGAAGCUGCGGUUCUUUUCAUCAGCCUGAACCUGGACCUGCCGCUAUGGAUAACUCAGGUUUUUUUUUUUUUUUUAAUCAACUGCCAUCUUUUCCACUGUUUAGAAACUCUUAAGAUUAAACUUUAGUAAAGUUGUUUUAGUUAUCCAUGUAAUCAGGCUGAGGAUACUUAGCUGCCUAUUUAGGCAAAUGUCAGAAUUUAGUUUGUUCGCUGGGAACUGGUGUGGACUGGCAAAGGAUGAUGAGAUAGUUUUUUGAGUGAGUAAAUUUUGGGAGCUUGAGUGUAUUGGGAUUUGCAAUUACAAUCAUCGUCUGCCUCAGGUGAUUUCUUCUCCUGCUCUGUCAUUGUUUGUUCUCUAAUUCAAAAGCAUAAAAUAUUUCAAUCAAUUUUUAUGCCAGGAAUAUGCAAAAGUUUCUAAUAUUUUAUUUCCAUCUGUUACAAGAUCAAACUGAAGCAGAACUCAAACAAAAGUAUGCUACUUCUUGCGGAAAUCUUGCCUUUGUUCAGAUUAUGAAACCAUUUCCAUGCAGCAAAUUCAUCCAAAAGUUUGAAUAAGUUUCAUGGUUGGACACUGUUGGCUUCUUUUUCUUCUGGGGUGCAUUUAGGUGCUAUCAAGUGACAGCUGUAAGUAUGAUUGCACUAAGCUGCCGCUGGGAAAUUUGAGGUUUUGAUGGCUGCCCAUGUUAUUUUCAAGAAACUAUUGAUGUAAGAAGCUGUGGUUCUUUUCAUCAGCUUGAACCUGAAACUGUCGCUAUGGAUAACUCAGGUUUUUGUUAUCAACUAUAUCAUCUUUUUCACUAUUUUGAAACUCUUAAGAUUAAACUUUAGUAAAGUUGUUUCAGCUAUUCAAAUGAAAAACUCAUUGAUUUGAGACUUCCUUCAUUAUUGUUUCUAAUUACAAUGCUAACGAUCCAGAUAAAAUAAUAUUUAAUCGGCGAAGGUGUCCCUUGGAAGUACAUCCUUCUUUUUCUUUUAUUAUAUAAAUUCUUGCAAUGAGCUUAGUGAAGCUGUUGUGCUAAUCAUGCCACUGCAUAAUUUGGCCCCUAAUGUGGGUACUCUGUUACAUUGUUCUGCAAAUUCUCCAGAAGUUAAAAUCAAUAAAUUUUCUAUUAGCUCUAGUGCUUUGACCUAAAUGCCAUUCUAUAUUUUGAUUACAAUGUUUUAACCUUUAAAUUAACUACCCCUAGAUGUUGGAUUUUCUAGAACUUCAAAAUGAUUAAUGGAGAAAGAUCCCAUUAUCGUUAUUGCUAUAAGAAAUUGAUUUAUGCAUCCAAAGAUACAUUAUAUAUUUCUGUGUCUCUAUUUGUAGAUGACAUUUAAGCAUCCAUAAACCGUCAGACAGAGGAAGGGGGUUCAGUGCAAAGAUUCUGUUGACCUAGGGUUGACUGCAUAAUGUCACUUGUUCGCAAUCUAUUAUUUAUUUUAUAUUUUGAAGAAUUUAAUGGGUAAUCCUAAUUGUUUGUUUUGGCAGGUAUGUGUUGUUAUCUCCUUCUAUCUAACAGUCGUACCUAAAUAGCAUAGUUUCAUCUGUGUUACCAUGUGAUGUACAUAAUUUCACAUUUGCCUCAGAUUAAGCUUAAUUUCCCACAGAAUAGAGCUGUCGCGACUGGACUUAGGUUGAUGUCCAAAGAGGUAAAUUAUUGGCAUGCCUAGAUAAUUUGGCCAUUUCCUAAUUCAUAAGUCUACAUUAAUUUUGAUUUUGAGUUGACUGAUUUCUUUUCAAGGUCUGCUUCCUUAACGGAGUGACCAAUGUUUUUCAACUAAAUUUAUCAUAUGAUGCAGGAAGCAGGGCAGGAUAUGAAAUGAGAAGCUCAUUGGUGGAAGUAUUGCCAGUAACAGAACCCAAAGAAAAUGAAACUAUUUCAAGGCAGCAGUUGGCAGUUGCAAGUGAAUGGAGGCCCUGACAAAAUUCUCAAGCGGUUGCAAUGCAAUUACGAUCAUCCUCAGCCUCAGGUAAUUUCUUCUCCUGCUCUGUUUUUAUUUGUUAUCUAAUUAAAAAGCAUAAAGUAUCUUGAAUCACUUUCUGUAUCUGGAACAUAUGCAGCAGUUUCUAAAAUCUUCAUAUGAGUGUAAUGAUGGUAAUUUCUGUUUUUUGUCUGUCAUUGAAUGUUAGACAACUUUCAGUGAGACUCUUGAACCGAGACAUUUUUGACAAAUGAAGGACAAUUGCUGAAGAGUGGGAAUGGUGCUAGAUUGGGGAAUAAAGACAAAGGAGGUAAAUUAUUUGCAGUUUAUUCAGCAUUAUUUGCUUUGGACCAGCGCCUGAUUCACAAGUCUCCAUAAUUUGGCUUUUGACCAGUUGUUAAUAAAUUUUUUAUUCCAUUGGUGCUAAAUGUACACGUGAAGCAGGCAGAGCAGGACUGUGGAAAUGAGAAGGUUUUUAGUGAAAGCUUAAACUCAGGUAAUUCUAAAAAGUACAUGUUUUUGCUGAUUUAUCUAAAUCAGGAAAUUUUAUUUCCAUCUGUUACAAGAUAAAACAGAAACAGAACACAAAGAAAAAUAUUCUACUUCUUGUGGCAAUCUUGCCUUCAUUCAGACAAUGAAACCAUUUCCUUUCACCAAUUUCUUCCAAAAGUUUGAAUAAGUUUCAUGGUUGGACAUAGUUAGCUUCUUUUUCUUUUGGUGCAUUUAGGUCCUAUCAAGUGACAGCCAUAAGUAUGAUUGCAUUAUUGGGAAAUUUUAGGUUUUGAUGGCUCCCCACGUUAUUGCCAAGAAAGUCCUCAUGUCAAAAGCUGCGGUUCUUUUCAUCAGCCUGAACCCGAACCUGUCGUUAUGGAUAACUCAGGUUUUUGUCAUCAACUAUAUCAUCUUUUUUACUGUUUUGAAACUCUUAAGAUUAAACUUCAGUAAAGUUGUUUCAGUUAUCCAUGUAAUCAGGCCAAGGAUAUUUAGCAGCUUAUUUAGGCAACUGCCAGAAUUCAGUUUGUUUGCUCGAAACUUGUAUGGUGACAAGGAUACUGGCAAGGAUAGUGAGAUAGUUUUUUGUGUGAGUGAAAUUUGAAAGCUUGGGUGUUCUGGGAUUUGCAAUUGCAAUCAUCCUCUGAGUCAGGUGAUUUCUUCUCCUGCUCUGUCUUGAUUUUCUCUCUAAUUGAAAGCAUAAAGUAUUUCAAUCAAAUUCUGUACCAGGAGUACAUAAAAGUUACUAAUAUUUUAUUUCCAUCUGUUUGCAUUGAUAACUCGGCAUAUGUUCUAGUUAAAGAACAAACAGAAACAGAGUUCAGGAAAAAGUUUCUUCGGCCACCAUAUUUGAAAAUGAAACCAUUUCCAGGAAGCAGUUGGCAGCAAAUUCAUAUGGAGUGUAGACAAUGAUGAGCAAAAAGGUGAUUCGCAAUUUCUUUUUUUUUUAAGUGAAAUUAUUUGUUAGAUUGAAGCUGAUAUUGUAAGAAGGCCAUUGAGCUAACCUAUGUCGUCACUUGCCUAGAUUGCAGGGGGUCAAGACUCAAAAGAAGCACUGAAAUUUAAAAAGCAUGGAAUAGUUCUUUUGCCAUGUGUCAAUUAAUGCAAGUUUGAAUAAGUUUAUUGGCUGAACGAUGUUAGCUUCUUUUCCUUUCGUGCACUUUGGUAUGCUAUCAAGUGACAGCCGUAUGUAUGGCUUGCAUAUAGCUGCUGCUGGGAAAAUUGACGAUUUCAUGGCUGGCCGUGUUAUUGUCUUAAAUUAGUUGUGAUAAGCUGUUGCUUGGAGAUUCUGUUGCCAAGACUUUGCUCACAUCAGAAGCUGUGGAAUCUGAACCCUUCGUUAUGUAUCAUCUUUUUCAUUGUUUUAAAACUCUCAGGAUUAAACUUGAGCGAAUUUGUUCGGUUGUCUAUAUAAUCAUGUAUUGAGUAAACUCUCAGGAUACUGAGGGUGAGAGAAAUUAGAGGGUGUAUAGGGAUUUGGAUUUGUUAGGAAGUUAUCAUUUUUAUUUUUAUUUUUAUUUUUUUCCCAGAAAAUCUUCUGGUGGUGCUAUAUUUUCAAACGACAGUCCGAUUCAAAACUUGAUAUUCCAAUUAUAUUCAUAAGCUUCUACAGUUAUCUUCAAAAAGACAAAUGGAAGGCUUUGAACGGCUUGGGUCUGAGUAUUGUAGUUUGAUUUAUUUUGAUGAAAGUACCUUUUGACAUUGAGAUUCUUUCAUGAGUUAAACAUUCUUUUUAAAACCAACUUAUUAAAAAAAAAAAGUAACUAACAUAUAUUAUUUUGUUAGUGCUUUUUAAAUCAAAUAUAAAAAAGAGAACUGUAAUUCUUAGCAACCAAUUUUUCACUGAGUACACCUACAACAAACUAUUAAAAAAUAAAGUGAUAGAAAAUGCCUGAUUUUUCGUACUUUCUAAUUACUUUUGGUCCUAAAAUAUGGCAAUUUGUGUAAUAAUAAGCCCAUGUAUAUCUUUAUGCCAUUAGUUUGAUAAAUAGCUAUCAAGGAUAACUUAUUAAGCUAAAAAUAUUUGAAGGAUAAAUUGAUUUAUGCAUCCAAAGAUACAUUAUAUAUUUCUGUGUCUCUAUUUAUAGAUGACAUUUAAGCAUCCAUAAACCGUCAGACAGAGGAAGGGGGUUCAGUGCAAAGAUUCUGUUGACCUAGGGUUGACUGCAUAAUGUCACUUGUUCGCAAUCUAUUAUUUAUUUUAUAUUUUGAAGAAUUUAAUGGGUAAUCCUAAUUGUUUGUUUUGGCAGGUAUGUGUUGUUAUCUCCUUCUAUCUAACAGUCGUACCUAAAUAGCAUAGUUUCAUCUGUGUUACCAUGUGAUGUACAUAAUUUCACAUUUGCCUCAGAUUAAGCUUAAUUUCCCACAGAAUAGAGCUGUCGUGACUGGACUUAGGUUGAUGUCCAAAGAGGUAAAUUAUUGGCAUGCCUAGAUAAUUUGGCCAUUUCCUAAUUCAUAAGUCUACAUUAAUUUUGAUUUUGAGUUGACUGAUUUCUUUUCAAGGUCUGCUUCCUUAACGGAGUGACCAAUGUUUUUCAACUAAAUUUAUCAUAUGAUGCAGGAAGCAGGGCAGGAUAUGAAAUGAGAUCUCAUUGGUGGAAGUAUUGCCAGUAGCAGAACCCAAUGAAAAUGAAACUAUUUCAAGGCAGCAGUUGGCAGUUGCAAGUGAAUGGAGGCCCUUGACAAAAUUCUCAAGCGGUUGCAAUGAUGGUAAUUUCUUCUCCUGCUUUGUAUUUAUUUGUUAUCUAAUUAGGAAGCGUGAAGUAUCUUGAAUCAUUUUCUGUAUCUGGAAUAUAUGCAAGAGUUUCUAAAAUUUUGAUAUGAGUGUAAUGAUGGUAAUUUCUGUUUUCUGUCUGUCAUCAAAUGUUAGAAAACUUUCAUUGAGACCCUUGAACCGAGUCAUUUUUGACAAGUGAAGGACAAUUGCUGAAGAGUGGGAAUGGUGCUAGAUUGGGGAAUAAAGACAAAGGAGGUAAAUUAUUUGCAGUUUAUUCAGCAUUAUUUGCUUUGGACCACCGCCUGAUUCACAAGUCUCCAUAAUUUGGCUUUUGACCAGUUAAUAAAUUUUUAAUUCCAUUGGUGCUAAAUGUACACGUGAAGCAGGCAGAGCAGGACUGUGGAAAUGAGAAGGUUUUUAGUGAAAGCUUAAACUCAGGUAAUUCUAAAAAGUACAUGUUUUUGCUGAUUUAUCUAAAUCAGGAAAUUUUAUUUCCAUCUGUUACAAGAUAAAACAGAAACAGAACACAAAGAAAAAUAUUCUACUUCUUGUGGCAAUCUUGCCUUCAUUCAGACAAUGAAACCAUUUCCUUUCACCAAUUUCUUCCAAAAGUUUGAAUAAGUUUCAUGGUUGGACAUAGUUAGCUUCUUUUUCUUUUUGGUGCAUUUAGGUCCUAUCAAGUGACAGCCAUAAGUAUGAUUGCAUUAUUGGGAAAUUUUAGGUUUGGAUGGCUCCCCAUGUUAUUGCCAAGAAAGUCCUCAUGUCAGAAGCUGCGGUUCUUUUCAUCAGCCUGAACCCGAACCUGUCGUUAUGGAUAACUCAGGUUUUUGUCAUCAACUAUAUCAUCUUUUUUACUGUUUUGAAACUCUUAAGAUUAAACUUCAGUAAAGUUGUUUCAGUUAUCCAUGUAAUCAGGCUAAGGAUAUUUAGCAGCUUAUUUAGGCAACUGCCAGAAUUCAGUUUGUUUGCUCGAAACUUGUAUGGUGACAAGGAUACUGGCAAGGAUAGUGAGAUAGUUUUUUGUGUGAGUGAAAUUUGAAAGCUUGGGUGUUCUGGGAUUUGCAAUUGCAAUCAUCCUCUGAGUCAGGUGAUUUCUUCUCCUGCUCUGUCUUGAUUUUCUCUCUAAUUGAAAGCAUAAAGUAUUUCAAUCAAAUUCUGUACCAGGAAUACGUAAAAGUUACUAAUAUUUUAUUUCCAUCUGUUUGCAUUGAUAACUCGGCGGCAUAUGUUCUAGUUAAAGAACAAACAGAAACAGAGUUCAGGAAAAAGUUUCUUCGGCCACCAUAUUUGAAAAUGAAACCAUUUCCAGGAAGCAGUUGGCAGCAAAUUCAUAUGGAGUGUAGACAAUGAUGAGCGAAAAGGUGAUACGCAAUUUCUUUUUUUUUUUUUUUAAGUGAAAUUAUUUGUUAGAUUGAAGCUGAUAUUGUAAGAAGGCCAUUGAGCUAACCUAUGUCGCCACUUGCCUAGAUUGCAGGGGGUCAAGACUCAAAAGAAGCACUGAAAUUUAAAAAAGCAUGCAAUAGUUCUUUUGCCAUGUGUCAAUUAAUGCAAGUUUGAAUAAGUUUAUUGGCUGAACGAUGUUAGCUUCUUUUCCUUUCGUGCACUUUGGUAUGCUAUCAAGUGACAGCCGUAUGUAUGGCUUGCGUAUAGCUGCUGCUGGGAAAAUUGACGAUUUCAUGGCUGGCCGUGUUAUUGUCUUAAAUUAGUUGUGAUAAGCUGUUGCUUGGAGAUUCUGUUGCCAAGACUUUGCUCACAUCAGAAGCUGUGGAAUCUGAACCCUUCGUUAUGUAUCAUCUUUUUCAUUGUUUUAAAACUCUCAGGAUUAAACUUGAGCGAAUUUGUUCGGUUGUCUAUAUAAUCAUGUAUUGAGUAACCUCUCAGGAUACUGAGCAGGCAAAUGUUAUAACUCGGUUUGUUAGCCAAAAACUUGUUGAAGAUUCUUGACAAAGCUGCAUCAAGUGAAUUGUCGGAGCUCUGAGGGUGAGAGAAAUUAGAGGGUGUAUAGGGAUUUGGAUUUGUUAGGAAGUUAUCAUUUUUAUUUUUAUUUUUAUUUUUUUCACAGAAAAUCUUCUGGUGGUGCUAUAUUUUCAAACGACAGUCCGAUUCAAAACUUGAUAUUCCAAUUAUAUUCAUAAGCUUCUACAGUUAUCUUCAAAAAGACAAAUGGAAGGCUUUGAACGGCUUGGGUCUGAGUAUUGUAGUUUGAUUUAUUUUGAUGAAAGUACCUUUUGACAUUGAGAUUCUUUCAUGAGUUAAACAUUCUUUUUAAAACCAACUUAUUAAAAAAAAAAAGUAACUAACAUAUAUUAUUUUGUUAGUGCUUUUUAAAUCAAAUAUAAAAAAGAGAACUGUAAUUCUUAGCAACCAAUUUUUCACUGAGUACACCUACAACAAACUAUUAAAAAAUAAAGUGAUAGAAAAUGCCUGAUUUUUCGUACUUUCUAAUUACUUUUGGUCCUAAAAUAUGGCGAUUUGUGUAAUAAUAAGCCCAUGUAUAUCUUUAUGCCAUUAGUUUGAUAAAUAGCUAUCAAGGAUAACUUAUUAAGCUAAAAAUAUUUGAAGGAUAAAAUGGUAAAACUAAAAGGGUGGAGUAAUAUAGUUAUUUAAGAUUACAUAGUAAGUCAACUAUAUUCGAGGGAUAAAAUAUUAAAACUUGAAUAGUGAUAUUAAAAAUAUCUCAGCUAUUAUACUAUUAAACCAUAUGCCGUAAUAAUAUUUUUUUUCAAACUUUAAAAAAUUCAGGAUUUUAAAUUAAAACAUGGAUUUCUUUAAGAUGCUAUAUGUGUUUUUACAGUAUUGAUAGUGGGAUUAGUGUGGACCUUUAGAUGAAAGAGUUUUAAUCUGAAUCAUUCAUUUAAUAUAAUAGAUAAUUAAAUAAUUAAUUAAAAUAUAUCAGGUAACUUAUAGGUUGCAGGUAAAAAAUUAAUUUUUUAAUUUUAAAUUAAAAUUAAUUUGGAACAAAACCAUCCACACCCCUAAGGUUUACUUAAAUGAUCAUAUAAAUCCCUUUAGUUUCUACAUAGUUAUACAAACCCUCUUAAUUUCAUAAAUUAUUAUUAUACUUUUAAUUAAAACAACCUAAAUGAAUAUAAAUAUAGUAAUAGGAUAGAAAUAAUAAAUAAAUAUCAGAUGAAACAAAUAAAAUAUUACAAUAAAUACAAUUAAUUAAAUAACAUGUAGGAUGAAAAUUUUAUUCAUAUUAAGUUAUUAUUAGUCGAUCUCGAUGGAUUUACUCAAAUUAAUUAAUCCAAAAUUUAAUUUUAAGAUUGAUAUUAAUAUGGACAUAAUUAAAUAAGAUGUUGUAAUAUAUAUUACUUUGAAUGUUAAGUAUAAUUAUCUAAUAUUAUUAGUAUGUGAAAUAGAUUUUAAUAUUAUUAAAAGAAUAUGACAAUAUAUAAUUUUGACAUAAAUUUUUUAGUAUUCAUAAUAUUUUAUAAAUUUUAUCUUAUUUUAUAUAUUAUAUUUUUUAAUUUUAAUGUAUUAUAUAUGAUCAUUUAAGCAAAUUUUGGAGGUGCGGUGGUCUUUUCCCUAUUAAUUUUGUAGCAUAUUUAAAGUGUUAUAUCAUACAUCAUACAUCGCACUUUUGUUAAAGUAUUAUGUUAUUAAAAAUUAAACUUUGCAUUUAUAAUAUACUACCAUUUUAAUGUAAAUGUAACAAAAAAUAUGAAGAUAUUUUUAAGUAGUCAAUUGUAGCUUUCUAUUACAAAAUAGCAGUAUAGAAAUACAAUUGGUAAAAUGUAAUAAAAAUGGUAUGGAAAAAAGUUAGUAGAGGCAAUUAUUUUUGUAGUUGCUAAAACAUAUGAAGUGACACACACACACACACACACACACAUCAAGUACUUGUAUGUUCCCCUAACUUUUAUUAAUAGGAAGGAAAUUAAAUUCGUAAUUUUCCCGGUGAAUUAUGAAUUGAUAAAUGAAAUAUAAAUAUUAGUAAAAAUUAAUUUGUCGACUAAAGAAGUAAACCAUAUUUUAUGGGCAUUUAAUACAUUACUUUAAGGUCAAAUGAGAUAUAUCACAUGAUAUUUGAUACAGUAGUCCAAUUUUCAACAUUUGCAUAUAGUUUCUAAGCUAGUAAUCUAAUAAAAUAUACCAAAUGAGAAAUUCAAGGCUAUUAUUUAUAUUUCACAAUUGGACAAACACCAUACAUUAGAAUAAAAAAAUCUCACAGUACAGACGACAUCUGUUUGCAUGUUUUGAAAAUAGAUUUUGAAAAUAGUUUAAUUACAUGAUAAUUAAAUUAUAUUAUAAAACUAAGAAUAUGAUUUAAGUACUAUUUUAGCAAUUUUGAGUCUCACAUUGAGUAUUCAAGUUAAUUAAAUGUUGAAACUCUUUUCUAUUUGGCUUGAAAUCACUACUUAAUUAAAUUACAAAAAGUCGAUAAUGAAUGAUGUAGGACACAUAUGUAAAAUAAAUUUUAAAGUGUAAUUAAACAUUCCUAUCAAUAUUAGUUUCGUAUACAUGUUCAUAUAUUUUAUUGAAACCAUAUAUAAUUAAAUUUUGUGUAAUUAAGUAAAAUAUAUUAUUCAAGUGAAUUUAUGAGAAUAUUUAAAAUUAUAGGGGUGGUCACUGAAAUUUGCCAAACUUGAGCCAACCGUGCAUGAUCCAAACAAUUUAUUUUAAUAAUUCUCAAUAUGUUAGUCUGUUUGACUGUUGGCAAAAUAAAUUCCUAUCAGCAAUGCAACACAAUUCAAAAUCAUAUCUGCAUACAACGAACAAUAUCUCAUCAAAGAUCAAAUUAUACAUUUUUUACACCAAAGCAUAAAUAUCUAAAUUAUCCCUCUUCAACUCACCAAGCUCAUACCUAACAACAGCAAGAUUAAAUGUCAUUUGAUCCAUCUUUUUUAGUAAGCUUUAUCAAUUCUUCUCAUGGUUGCAAUUUUGAAAGCUCGCUUCGCUAUUUCCAUUUGCUUUUAUGCUUUGUUUGAGCUCCAUCUUUUCUCUCCAUCUACAUUUUACACUGUAAAAAAAAUUUUAAAAAAAUUACAAAGCUUCUUAUACUAGAAUAUGAGCAACAAUAUAAAUAAUAAACAAUAAAGUUAUGAUAGCACAACAUACUCAUUAAAGUGCUUCUUUUUUUUUUUCAACAAGAAAUUACUACUGAAUUAAAGAAUUGGCUUUGCAUUAAGGUUUGCCUUCAAUAACUCAACUCCCCACUUGGGUUUUGUCGUUUUCUUAAAAUCUCUGCUCAAUCAAUUUAAAGAUCCAUUUUUUUUUUCUUUCCAAAGAUCUAAAAGCAAUGUCUUUUAUUGGUACCCAACAAAAAUGCAAGGUCUGUGAGAAGACAGUUUGUCCAGUUGAGCAGUUAUCUGCUGAUGGGGUUGUUUAUCACAAGUCUUGCUUCAAGUGCUAUCACGGCAAAGGCACACUCAAGCUAAGCAAUUACUCAUCCCUGGAAGGUGUUCUUUACUGUAAGCCUCACUUUGAGCAGCUUUUGAAGGAGUCGAGUAACUUCAACCAGAAUUUCCAAUUACCUGCAAAGUCAGCUGAGAAGUUAACUCCUGAGCUGAGAAGGUCGCCUAGCAAAGUUGCCAGCAUGUUCUCUGGGCCCAAUAAAAAUGUGCUUCUUGCAGUAAAACAGUGUGUCCGUGGGAGAAGGUAGCAGUGGAAAACCAAGCCUCUCACAAGACAUGUUUCAAGUGCUCACAUGGUGGUUAUUCCAUUAGCCCGUCAAAUUACGCAGCCCUAGAAGGCAUCUUGUAUUGCAAACAUAAUUUCUCCCAAUUGUUCAAGGAAAAAGGCAGCUACAACCACCUUAUAUCAAAUCUGCUCCCAUGAAGCGUGCUGCAGUCUCUGUUCAAGAAGCUUGAACACGUUAUGUUAUCUUCCAUAAAUCUUAUUUGGCGUGGGUUUUCUCUGGCUUGAGGGUGUGCUUUCUAUUUUGAUCCCUCUUGUUGUUUUUGCGGGGAACUACCAAACCUUCGGUUCCCUCUGCUUCUUUGGAUCAUCUUUGUUUGGACAAAUUUCAUGUAAUUAGAGAUACCGAUUUAUGGGAGGCAUAAUCCCAUGGUCGUAAAUUGACCAUUUUCUGGCAAUGUUCUUUUUAAAAAGAGAUGAGCAGUUGUUUAAAAAAAAAAAAAAUUGCUUGCCUUCAUCAUUGUAUAUUACCAAACUGCUAUGUAUAGCUGCUAACUAUGAGCAUCCGAAAAUAUGGUGCAUCGUGAUUCAUGUAGUGCAAUAUGGCUACCAACGCAUCCUAAAUGGAGUAUUACUCAGUUAGUCAGCAAAAUAAGACAACAUAACUGAUAUUAAAAAAAAAAAAAAACUACAUUAAUAAGUGGGCAAGAUCAUGCCAGUUUAACUUUUCGCGCGUCGCUGCUGGAGAUGAUCAAAUCGGGGCAUAGAAAAGGAGAAUGGAAUCAGAGGCUAAGAUUAAUAAGUGGGCUUCUGCUUGCUUUGCCCUCUUUCUUAAACGAUUGGUAGACUGCUGCUUCCGCCGAUUAACCGGGUCUUCAACCACUGCUUUUACUGCCUGCCAUCUUGUUGUUUGUCGAAGGGAUGAAUUCGAGUCGAAAAGAGAAAGCGCGCUGAAAAAGAUAAAUCACUAGUGGUUAACUGCUGACUCAGCCAAGUGUUGGCUUCACUUGAUUCACCGAUUGAGGUUAUUUUGUCUUCUAUCUAAUGCAGCGAAGAAGCUUUGCUGCUUAACAUGCUGCAAUGCAACUUUAUCCUUUGAAGUUCACACUCCAGGGCUGCGCACUUUAUGUAAUCCUAUGAGUAAAAAGAAUUUGUUUUCAAAUGUGAAAAAAGAAAAUGUAAGGUAGUAACUAAAUAUAUUAUAGCAUCAAAGCAAGAUUUGAUAUGAAUUUAGUACAACAAAGAACAUCAAAUCUGUGAUUCCUUGUCUAAUGUCACCAUCGAGCAACAAAUUUAAAAGCCUACCUAUCAAAUACACGAGGCAAUAAACGGAGAAAAAGUUGAAUUACAAGAACAAGUUUACAAUUCUUGUCAAUGGUUAAUGAUUUGUGAACUGAGAUAUCAUUCAAGAAUCCAAUUUCAAUACAACAACCUAAAAGAUAAACAGAUGAUGAAUUUUAUGAGAUAAAAAAGGAGAUCGUGUUUUAUCGUAUCUCUAUUUUCUUUCUUUUUAAAUUUAUGAGAUAAAGCGGUUGGUCCAGUUACGGUGUUAUGCUAACGGGUUUAAAGGUUCCGAUCCAAUGAGUUAGGGUGGAAUAUGAAUAUAUAAAUUCCAUAGCAUGUAAGGACUAGGAUUUGUUUGUUCAUAUCAAGAAAAAAAAUCUGAAAAUUUGAUGAUCAGAAGAUAAAAACACUUAAACACGUUUAAGUAUCAAUAAAUACUUGCUGCUGUAGUUUGAAAAUAAAAUGAGUUUAUCUUGUUGCUGUUUGAUAAAAAUUUAUACUAUUUUUAUUAAUUUUGUCAAAAUCAAUAUUUAGACAUUAUAUUUACCAAGCAUUAUCAUUUUUUUAAUCUCAUAAUUAAUUAAAAUUUUCAUUUCAUUCAAUACAGUAAUUAAUUAGAAUUGUAGCAUAAGCCCAUUUUAAUUUUCUUUCUUUAGGCUAUAUACGCUACUUAUAAGAAAAACUUAUGGACCAUUGACCUAGGCUUAUACAAUAAGCCAAUUUAGAAAUUGUAGACUCACUCUAUGGAUUACUCAUGAGUUGUGGAUGAUGAGUUCUUCACUAACGAAGUGCAUUGGAUAUCAUAUAACGUAAAAACACACAUUGUCAUUAGUCUAUUGCAAGCAUUCCCAUUUGGCACCGAAUCUUUCUCAUUAGCCUAUUGCAAGCGAUCCCAGCCACUUGGAAUCAAAAUUUAGUGAAUUUACAUAUGUUGUCUCGAAGUGGUGUCUCUUAUGGUUGGGUGUUUUUAUAAAUUUCUUAAUUGCUUCGAAUACCAUGGCUGAUGCAACCGUUUCUACUAUCUUGGAGCAGCUGAUUUCCUUCGCUGCUGAAGAGAUAAAACAACAGGUGAUCGAAGUUGCACCCCUCAUAUUACAAAUGCUUCCAAUGAUUUUAAUUGGUUUUGUUUUUAUCAAAAACAUUAUAUAUUUUUUCUUUAUUUUAUUUAUCUGGUAAUUUUAGAUUUUGAAAUUUGAAUUGAAUUUAAUUAAAAGGUGAUGUAGUAACCACUUAUUUUUAUUUUUUUUUAUUUAUAUUCUCAAUAACUACUCAUAGUUUGGUAACUUACUAUAACUUCCAUAUCUAAGAAAUGAUCCAAACCCACAAUUUUAACUCAAGUUUGUCAAACAGUCAUUAAUUCAAUGUUUAGUAAAAAAAACACUUCUCAGCACAGAAUUCCAUGUCCAUUACUUAGACUCUAUGAAAAAUUUCAUAAUUUUCUUACAUUCUUUGAGUUUGGUAAGUGAUUUCAUAUAUUUUCUAUUCAAUAUAAAUUUUAAUUUGUUUUCUUAUAUACUCUCUUUGCUGAAUUUGUAUCUUUUAUGAUUCUUAGAUUUUGGGCUCUAACUUUUUAGGAUUUGAUAGUCACAUUUUAUGCCAUGCUUAGAUUGAUUUUCAUGAUUUUUACUACCCGUUAAGUGACUUAGAAUUUGACAAAAGUUUGAAAGGAAAUCUGCUUCAGGAUUCUGUUUUAAUUGACCCUUUAGUGGAAAUAAAAUGCUUAUAACUUAAUGUGGAUGCUAUGUAAAAUCAUGAAAUUUGGAUAGAAUUAACUAGAAAUAUGUACAAGACUCUCCAUGAAGUCUCAUAAUUUUUCAUUCGGUCUGGGGUGUUACAGGUGAAGCUUGUGGUUGGUGUCGAAAAAGAAGUGAAAAGCCUUACCAGCCACCUUCAAGCCAUUCAAGCUGUGCUCGAUGAUGCAGAGGAAAAGCAAGUGAAGGACAAAGCUGUUAGACAUUGGCUGGGUAGGCUCAAGUAUGCAUCCUACGACAUUGAAGAUGUGUUGGAUGAGUGGAUCACAGGAAGACGCAAAUUGCAAAUUGAGGGUGGCAUUGGUGAAAAUGCUCUUAUUGCUCCUCAUAAGAAAAAGAAGGUACGUUUCUGCUUUCGUGCCUCUUGUCUUGGAUUCAAAACAGAAGAAUUUGGCUUCAAACAAGUCUUUCUACGUCAUGACAUUGCCAACAAGAUCAAAGAAAUGAAUGAAGAGCUACAUGAUAUUGCUACUCAAAAAGACAUGUUUAAUCUUGUUAAGAGUGGCAAUAACAGUAGUGAAAGACCAAGGCGUGUACAGAGUACCUCCUUGAUUGAUGAGGAAGAGAUUUGUGGUAGAGUUGGUGAGAAGAAUGAACUCAUAAGCAAGCUGUUGUGUGAGAGUAGCGAGCAACAAAAAGGCCUCCAUAUCAUCUCAAUUGUUGGUAUGGGAGGCAUAGGGAAAACUACUCUUGCACAACUAGCUUGUAAUCAUGACGAGGUGAAGAGAAAGUUCGACAAAAUUCUGUGGGUGUGUGUAUCAGAAACUUUUGAGGAGUUUAGGGUUGCCAAAGCAAUCGUUGAAGCUUUGGAUGGUCGUGAAUCUCAUUUAGGUGAAUUCCAAUCUCUUCUUCAACAUAUUGAUGAAUCCAUUGCAGGGAAGACCUUUCUUCUUGUCUUAGAUGACGUGUGGGAUGGAAAUUACUUGAAAUGGGAACCAUUCUACCGUUGUCUAAAGAAUGGUCUCCAUGGAAGUAAAAUUAUAGUUACCACACGUAGUGGGUCCGUUGCAUCCAUGAUGGGAUCCAUAGAUAUUAUUCCCAUUAAGGAAUUAGCUGAAGAGGAAUGUUGGUUGUUGUUUAACAAGAUAGCAUUUUUUGGUAGGCCUAUUGAGGAACGUGAAAAAUUAGAACAAAUUGGGCAAAGAAUUGCAGGCAAGUGCAAAGGUUUACCUCUUGCAGCAAAGACAAUAGGGAGUCUCAUGCGUUCUAAACAAACUGAAGAAGAGUGGAAAAGAAUUUUAAAUAGUGAUUUAUGGAAAGUAGAAGAGAUUGAGAAAGAUGUUUUGUCCUCUUUAUUGUUGAGUUAUAAUGAUUUGCCAUCUAGAGUAAAAAGAUGUUUUUCAUAUUGUGCUGUCUUUCCAAAAGACUACAAUAUAAAAAAAGACGAACUAAUCACAUUAUGGAUGGCUCAAGGUUAUCUUAGUGCAGAAGCAGCAGAACAAGAUGAGGAGUUGGAGACUAUAGGUGAAGAGUAUUUUGGCAUCUUAGCUUCUCGCUCUUUCUUUCAAGAGUUUGAGAAAAGUUAUGAUAAUCGUAUUAUAGAGUGCAAGAUGCAUGAUAUGGUACAUGAUUUUGCCCGCUUUGUAAGUCAAAAUGAAUGUUUUUCGAUGGCAAUUAAUGGUAGUGAAGAACCAAACGCCACAAACGCUCUUGAUGAGAAGGUCCGUCAUUUAAUGUUAAUAUUUAGUAAAGCGGCUUCAUUACCUAUUUCCACUCUUAGAGUUAAAAGAAUGCGUACCCUCUUAAUUAACGAUCAUUCAUUAUUAAAUGCUGCGAUCCUAGAAGAAUUAUUUAGGGAAUUGACAAGUUUAAGGGCAUUAGAUUUUGGCGGAUCGUACCACUCAACGCGGUUGUUGACUCCGGAGGUUCCGAGAAACAUAGAAAAGCUGGUACUACCGGAGACAUUGUGUGAGUUAUAUAAUCUAGAAAAGUUAGAUAUUAGUGAUUGUUUUAAUCUUAAAGAAUUACCUGAAGGGAUUGGGAAGUUAAUAAACGUGAAGCAUUUACUAAAUAGAGGUACUAAUUCUUUAAGGUACAUGCCAGUAGGGAUUGGGAGAUUAACAGGUCUUAGGACCUUGGGUGAGUUCCACGUGAGUGCAGGAGGAGGUGUUGAUGGUAGGAAAGCAUGUAGGCUUGAAUCUCUUAAAAACUUGGAACACCUUCAAGUAUGUGGUAUAAGUAGACUGGGUGAUGUAUCAGAUGUGGGCGAGGCUAAGCGAUUAGAACUUGACAAAAAGAAAUACCUCUCCAGUUUGACCCUUUGGUUUGAUAAGGAGGAGGAAGAAGAAGGAGAAAGAAGGAAGAACGAGGACAAUCAACUUCUUCUUGAAGCCCUGCGACCACCUCUCAAUUUAAAGGAAUUAGAGAUUGAGUACUACCGAGGCAACACUGUUUUCCCCAGCUGGAUGACGUCAUUAACCAACUUGAAGAGUUUAGAUCUCUCUUCCUGCGAAAAUUGCGAGCAGCUGCCUCCUUUGGGAAAAUUGCAGUCCCUUGAAAAUCUCCACAUAUGGCGCAUGGAGAGUGUGAAGAGAGUGGGUGAUGAAUUUUUGGGGAUAGAAAGUGAUCAUCAUGGCUCAUCUUCAUCUUCAUCGGUUAUUAUUGCCUUCCCCAAAUUGAAAUCACUUUCAAUUGAGGUUCUGCGCGAAUUGGAGGAGUGGGAUUAUGGGAUUACAAGAACGGGAAACACCGUCAUCAACAUCAUGCCACGUCUUUCUUCAUUGACAAUUAAUUACUGCUCCAAAUUAAAGGCACUGCCCGACCACUUUCAUCAAACGACAACAUUGAAGGAAUUGCACAUUUGGAAGUGCAGGCUUCUGGAAGAACGUUAUUGCAAUGGGGAAGGAGAAGACUGGUCUAAGAUAUCACACAUUCCCAACCUCCAUAUUGGGCUUUGACAAGUAAUUUCUUCUCUUACUCUGAUUUGCUUUGUUGUUGUUUUUAAUCUAAUUAAGAAGCGUAAAUAGCAUUUUGAAUCAAACUCUAUAUCAGAAAUCUGCAAUACUUACUUUCUAAUAUUCUGAUUUUCAUAUCCUAUGAAUAUACGAUUUUUAAUUUGUGAGAUGGGUAACGUUACUGUAAAAGAUUAUUAAUGCAAUAUGAGUAAUUCUUUUGCAGGACAAGUGACCUACAUUUAGUUUGGCUUUGGAGUUGAAUAAUAACCUUUCGAGGUCCCGACAACCAAAAAACGAAGCUUAAUUUGCCACAGAUUGCACGUAUUGCCAUUAUUGACAAUUUUCUGCACAAGCGUGACUGAACUUAGGUUGAUGUCAAAAGAGGUAAAUUAUUGGCAUGCCUGACUAUUUUGACCAUUACAUGAUUCAUAAGUUUACAUUAAUUUUGAUUUUGAGUUGAGUGAUUAAUUUUCUAUGUUUGCUUACUUUAACUGGGUGACCAAUUUCUUGUAACUAAAUGUAUGAUGUGAUGCAGGAAGCAGGGCAGGAUAUGAAAAGAGAAGCUUAUUAGAGGAAGGAUUGCCAGUAACAGAAUCCAAAGAAAAAGAAACCAUUUCGAGGCAGCAGUUGGCAGUUGGCAGUGAAUGGAGCCCCUUGAAAAAGUUCCCAAGCCGUUGCACUGCAAUUACGAUCAUCCUCGGCCUCAGGUAAUUUCUUCUCCUGCAUUUUUGUUAUUUGCUAUCAAGUGACUAUUUUAAGUAUGAUUGCAUUAAGCUGCUACUGGGAAAUUUGAGGUUUUGAGGACUGCCCAUGCUAUUGUCAGAAGCUGCGGUUCUUUUCAUCAGCCUGAACCUGGACCUGCCGCUAUGGAUAACUCAGGUUUUUUUUUUUUUUAAUCAACUGCCAUCUUUUCCACUGUUUAGAAACUCUUAAGAUUAAACUUUAGUAAAGAUGUUUUAGUUAUCCAUGUAAUCAGGCUGAGGAUACUUAGCUGCCUAUUUAGGCAAAUGUCAGAAUUUAGUUUGUUCGCUGGGAACUGGUGUGGACUGGCAAAGGAUGAUGAGAUAGUUUUUUGAGUGAGUAAAUUUUGGGAGCUUGAGUGUAUUGGGAUUUGCAAUUACAAUCAUCCUCUGCCUCAGGUGAUUUCUUCUCCUGCUCUGUCAUUGUUUGUUCUCUAAUUCAAAAGCAUAAAAUAUUUCAAUCAAUUUUUAUACCAGGAAUAUGCAAAAGUUUCUAAUAUUUUAUUUCCAUCUGUUACAAGAUCAAACUGAAGCAGAACUCAAUCAAAAGUAUGCUGCUUCUUGCGGAAAUCUUGCCUUUGUUCAGAUUAUGAAACCAUUUCCAUGCAGCAAAUUCAUCCAAAAAUUUGAAUAAGUUUCACGGUUGGACACUGUUGGCUUCUUUUUCUUCCGGGGUGCAUUUAGGUGCUAUCAAGUGACAGCUGUAAGUAUGAUUGCACUAAGCUGCCGCUGGGAAAUUUGAGGUUUUGAUGGCUGCCCAUGUUAUUUUCAAUAAACUAUUGAUGUAAGAAGCUGUGGUUCUUUUCAUCAGCUUGAACCUGAAACUGUCGCUAUGGAUAACUCAGGUUUUUGUUAUCAACUAUAUCAUCUUUUUCACUAUUUUGAAACUCUUAAGAUUAAACUUUAGUAAAGUUGUUUCAGCUAUUCAAAUGAAAAACUCAUUGAUUUGAGACUUCCUUCAUUAUUGUUUCUAAUUACAAUGCUAACGAUCCAGAUAAAAUAAUAUUUAAUCAACGAAGGUGUUGAUUGAUUUGAGACUUCCUUCAUUAAUGUAGACUUCCUUCAUUAUUGUUUCUUUUUCUUUUAUUCUAUAAAAUCUUGCAAUGAGCUUAGUGAAGCUGUUGUGCUAAUCAUGCCACUGCAUAAUUUGGCCCCUAAUGUGAGUACUCUGUUACAUUGUUCUGCAAAUUCUCCAGAAGUUAAAAUCAAUAAAUUUUCUAUUAGCUCUAGUGCUUUGACCUAAAUGCUAUUCUAUAUUCUGAUUACAAUGUUUUAACCUUUAAAUUAACUACCCCUAGAUGUUGGAUUUUCUAGAACUUCAAAAUGAUUAAUGGAGAAAGAUCCCAUUAUCGUUAUUGCUAUAAGAAAUUGAUUUAUGCAUCCAAAGAUACAUUAUAUGUUUCUGUGUCUCUAUUUAUAGAUGACACCUAAGCAUCCCAUUAUCUAUUAUUUAUUUUAUAUUUUGAAGAAUUUAAUGGGUAAUCCUAAUUGUUUGUUUAGGCAGGUAUGUGUUGUUAUCUCCUUCUAUCUUACAGUCGUACCUAAAUAGCAUAGUUUCAUCUGUGUUACCAUGUGAUGUACAUAAUUUCACAUUUGCCUCAGAUUAAGCUUAAUUUCCCACAGAAUAGAGCUGCCGCGACUGGACUUAGGUUGAUGUCCAAAGAGGUAAAUUAUUGGCAUGCCUAGAUAAUUUGGCCAUUUCCUAAUUCAUAAGUCUACAUUAAUUUUGAUUUUGAGUUGACUGAUUUCUUUUCAAGGUCUGCUUCCUUAACAGAGUGACCAAUGUUUUUCAACUAAAUUUAUCAUAUGAUGCAGGAAGCAAGGCAGGAUAUGAAAUGAGAAGCUCAUUGGUGGAAGUAUUGCCAGUAAGAGAACCCAAAGAAAAUGAAUCUAUUUCAAGGCAGCAGUUGGCAGUUGCAAGUGAAUGGAGGCCCUUGACAAAAUUCUCAAGCGGUUGCAAUGCAAUUACGAUCAUCCUCAGCCUCAGGUAAUUUCUUCUCCUGCUCUGUUUUUAUUUGUUAUCUAAUUAAGAAGCAUAAAGUAUCUUGAAUCACUUUAUGUAUCUGGAAUAUAUGCAGCAGUUUCUAAAAUUUUGAUAUGAGUGUAAUGAUGGUAAUUUCUGUUUUUUGUCUGUCAUUGAAUGUUAGACAACUUUCAGUGAGACUCUUGAACCGAGACAUUUUGGACAAAUGAAGGACAAGUGCUGAAGAGUGGGAAUGGUGCUAGAUUGGGGAAUAAAGACAAAGGUGGUAAAUUAUUUGCAGUUUAUUCAGCAUUAUUUGCUUUCGACCAGCGCCUGAUUCACAAGUCUACAUAAUUUGGCUUUUGACCAGUUGUUAAUAAAUUUUUAAUUCCAUUGGUGCUAAAUGUACACGUGAAGCAGGCAGAGCAGGACUGUGGAAAUGAGAAGCUUUUUAGGGAAAGCUUAAACUCAGGUAAUUCUAAAAAUUAAUUCUGAUUGUUCCGAUUUAUCUAAAUCAGGAAAUUUUAUUUCCAUCUGUUACAAUAAAACAGAAACAGAACACAGAGAAAAAUAUUCUACUUCUUGUGGCAAUCUUGCCUUCAUUCAGACUAUGAAACCAUUUCCUUUCACCAAUUUCUUCCGAAAGUUUGAACACGUUUCAUGGUUGGACAUAGUUAGCUUCUUUUUCUUUUGGUGCAUUUAGGUGCUAUCAAGUGACAACCAUAAGUAUGAUUGCAUUAUUGGGAAAUUUUAGGUUUUGAUGGCUCCCCAUGUUAUUGCCAAGAAAUUUUAAGUCCUCAUGUCAGAAGCUGCGUUUCUUUUCAUCAGACUGAACCCGAACCUGUCACUAUGGAUAACUGAGGUUUUUGUCAUCAACUCUAUCAUGUUUUUCACUGUUUUGAAACUCUUAAGAUUAAACUUCAGUAAAGUUGUUUCAGUUACCCAUGUAAUCAGGCUAAGGAUAUUUAGCAGCUUAUUUAGGCAACUGCCAGAAUUCAGUUUGUUCGCUCGAAACUUGUAUGGUGACAAGGAUACUGGCAAGGAUAGUGAGAUAGUUUUUUGUGUGAGUGAAAUUUGAAAGCUUGGGUGUUCUGGGAUUUGCAAUUGCAAUCAUCCUCUGCUUUAGGUGAUUUCUUCUCCUGUUCUGUCUUUAUUUUCUCUCUAAUUGAAAGCAUAAAGUAUUUCAAUCAAAUUCUGUACCAGGAAUACGAAAAAUUUACUAAUAUUUUAUUUCCAUCUGUUUGCAUUGAUAACUUGGCCGCAUAUGUACUAGUUAAAGAACAAACAGAAGCAGAGUUCAGGAAAAAGUUUCUUCGGCCACCAUAUUUGAAAAUGAAACCAUUUCCAGGAAGCAGUUGGCAGCAAAUUCAUACAAAGUAUAGACAAUGAUGAGCAAAAAGGUGAUUUGCAAUUUCAUUUUUUUAAAAUGAAAUUAUUUGUUAAGUUGGAGCUGAUAUUGUUAGAAGGCCACUGAGCUAACCUAUGACACUGCUUGCCUAGAUUGCAGGAGGUCAAGACUCAAAAGAUGCACUGAAUUUUAAAAGGCAUGCAAUAAUUCUUAUGGCCAUUUGUCAAUGGUGGAAGGCUUUUAGCUUCUUUUCCUUUCGUGCAUUUUGGGGUUCUAUCAAGCGACAGCCGUAUGUAUGGAUGGAUAUAGCUGAAGGACAACAUUUGUCCAUGAGGUUCCUAAAAUCGCAACUUUUGUGCAGUAAAAUUAAAACGGACGGCGGAAGCUCUAGAAACCUCGGAUCGGCUUCAUUCAAAAACUAAAAUCAAGAGGAAAGAUUGAAGUUUAAUUACCUCACUUGCAGUUUCGAAAAAGACUUCUUGAGGUAGGAGAAAACGACUGAAAACAGCAAGCUACGAACACUGUCCAGAAAAUACAGCUCUGCACGAACAGCUUCUGUUUUGCCACGAUCUGAGAUCCUUAAGCACCCCAAUUGUGAUGCCUCUAAUUAUUCCACACUUAUAAAUGUUCUAGGAGUUCAGAGGAUUUUGAAUCACGAAAUUUCGUUUAGAAAUGAGAGAGAUAAUGAUGAAACAUGAAUGCUAGUUCAUGAUGAUUCCCCUUCCACCAAAUAAAGCACCAUUAUGUCUAAUAAUGGCACCAAACAUUAUCAUGUGCUAGACCCAUCCACUUAGCUAUAAUUUAUUGAAAGUGAUCUUAUCACUUAAAUAAAUUAUUUAAUCAAAUUAAUAAAUAGCUAAAUUAAUUAAUUUCGUAAUUAAUUAAUUAACCCCAUUUUGAUCAAAUCAAAUGGUUAAAUGUGGGCUCAUUUUGUGACAUGUUCUAAUGCUUUCUCUUAAUCCAUAUUAGAUCCAAUAAAAGCCCAAAAUUCUAAACCCAAAAAUGGUCUAGAAGUCCAUAAUCAUAUAUGAACCCGAACAUGUCCAAAAUGGUCAUUUUACGUGCUCGAUAUUACAUAAUGUUUAAUGGAGGAUUUACGAAAUUUAUUUUGUUCCUUAAACUAUUUAUGGAACAUCUAAAUUUCUAUCUUAAAUCAUAUUUAAGAUAUAUUUAUAUAUAUAUGUAUAUUCAUUCUCAAUGAAUUAUAAUAUAAAUAUUGAUUUUCCUAAAAAUAGGAAAUUUAACUUCUCAUUUUCUAGUAACUCCUUUUUCAUUUCUAUUUAAUGUGUGACCUUUUAGGUUCUUAGUUAUAAGGUAGUAGAACUAUUUUAAUGAUAACUCUUUAUUCAUUAAAUGAUGCUAAACUCUUUAGUCAUCAAUUAGAACUCUUCUAAUGACCUUAAGAUGCAUUGAUAAUACGCUUUACCAAUAUUGAUCUUAAGGUUUCUACAAGUCAUGAGUGACACCUAGCAGUAUAUCACAACUAUCCAAAUAACAAGAAUUGUUGGAUCUAUAGAACCUAUUCCAUUGUACCUCUAUGUCUUGGUCUCUUCAUCAUCCAUGUCCAAAGAAAAGCACGGCUUAUGGUUUAUUAUGUUAAGCACUUAUGCUUUAUCUCAAAACAAAUCUAAAUGAACUUGACAUGAAAAUAUAAUUUGAACUCCUUCAAAUAUAUUUCACCUUGGCCAAGGAUUUCUCAUGCCAAUUCAUAUUAUCUCAUAGGGACAUCCUUUUUGUAUAUUACAAAGUGAUGAAUUCCAUAUUGGCCAUGCACUAGUCUUCAUACAUAUCCAACCAUGACAGUUAUUGCUAGAUCUCUUCCGUGAUUAGGAAUCAAUCAUUAUGCAUUCACAUAUCAGAGAUGUCUAUGUAUAAGACAUCUGUUAUGCCUCAGGUCUAAAAACCAUUACUAAACAUAGUGUUUAAUACAAUGUAUAAUAAGCCAUUAACACUCAAGACCAUAUAGCUUACUAUAUUUGGUCAAGUUUAGUAAACUUGUUCUCUCAACAAGUAUCUAUGUGUUUGACUUGACAUCUCAUGUCAAUGAUAUGAAACUCACCAUCUAUUUUAGUAUCACAUACCAUAAGGAGUCAUAACACAUACUAGUGUUUAUAGAAAUUUAUAAUGUCCAAUCAUAAAUCCACCACUAGGAACUAUUUUAGAAGUAUAGUACAAAGGAUACACGUUUCAUAUUCUCGACAAACUCGAGAAUGUGUUCCUUAACUAUUUUACAUCUUGGACUAUAUUCAUUAAAUUAAUUAAUGAAUAUUGAUAACUUUGCCAUUUUAUAAAUAUCAAAAUGCUAUUCAAAUACGAUAAUUCCCUAAACAAACAAACACCAUUUGAUUGGCCUUUAGGGCAUAUUACUAACAAUCUCCCACUUGCACUAAAGCCAAUCGCUAUGGUAUCUCAUACCCAUCUUCUCAAGAUGACGAUCUAACUCUUGUUGAGUAAGUGCUUUAGUCAGAGGAUCCGCAGUGUUAUCAGCGGAGGCUACUUUCUGCAUAGUGAUAUCACUCCUUCCAAUGAUUUCUUUGAUAAUGUGAUAUCUUUUUUCUAUGUGUUUGGACUUCUAGUGAGACCUUGGUUCCUUAGCUUGUGCUAUAGCUCCAUUGUUGUCACAAUAUAAAGAGAUUGACAACGCAAUGGUUGGAACCACUUCAAGUUGUUGAAUAAACUUCCGUGUCCAAACAGCUUCUUUUGCUGCAUCUGAUGCAACUAUAUAUUUCGCUUCAGUGGUAGAAUCUGCAGUAAUUGUUUGCUUAGAACUUUUCCAGCUUACUGCUCCACCAUUGAUAGUGAAUAAAAUCCUGAUGUAGAUUUUCUAUCAUCUACAUCUGACUGGAAAUCUGAAUAUGUGAAGCCUUCAAUUUUUAGCUUACUUUCUCCAUAUGUUAAGAACAAAUCUUUAGUUCUUCUGAAGUACUUAAAGAUAUUCUUAACUGCGGUCCAAUAUUCCUCACCCGGAUUACUCUGGUAUCUGCUAGUGACACUCACUGCAUUGAGCUAUAUCCGGUCUAGUACAUAGCAUAGCAUACAUAAGACUUCCAAUUGCAGAAGCAUAUGGAAUCUUAUUCAUUCGCUCUAUCUCAUCAUAAGUUUUAGGACUCAUGCUUUUAGAGAGAUGAAUUCCAUGUCUGAAGGGUAUAAAACCCCUUUUGGAAUCCCACAUAUUAAAUUUCUUUAAUAUCUUUUCUAUGUACUUAGCUUGACAUAGACCUAUUAAUUUUCUGGAUCUAUCUCUAUAAAUCCUGAUUCCCAAGAUAUACAUUGCAUCUCCUAGGUCUUUCAUGGAGAAGUUUUGAGAAAGCCAAAUUUUGACAGAAGACAUUUGUCCAAUGUCAUUUCCUAUAAGUAAUAUGUCAUCUACAUAUAGCACAAGGAAAGAUAUUGCACUCCCACUAACCCUUUUGUAAACACAUGGUUCAUCCUCAUUCUUGAUGAAACCAAAUGAUUUGAUUGCAUCAUCAAAUCGGAUGUUCCAGCUCCUGGAGGCUUGUUUUAGCCCAUAAAUGGACUUUCUUAGCUUGCAUACUUUAUGAGGAUUUGUCUUAGAUUCAAAACCACAAGGUUGUAUCAUAUAGAUAUCUUCCUCAAUGUACCCAUUAAGAAAUGCAGUUUUGACAUCCAUUUGCCAAAUCUCAUAGUCAUAAUAUGCUGCUAUAGCCAAUAAGAUUCUGAUGGACUUUAGCAUGGCUACUGUUGAAAAGGUUUCCUCAUAGUCGAUACUUUGUAUUUGACGAUAACCUUUAGCUACCAACCUUGCUUUAUAGGUCUCUACCUUUCCAUCUAAGCCGAUCUUCCUCUUGAAGAUCCACUUGCAUCCAAUAGGUAUAAUACCUUCGGGUGGAUCCACUAGAGUCCAGACUUGAUUGGUUCUCAUAGAGUCCAUCUCUAAAUCCAUGGCUUCAAGCCAUUUCUUAGAGUCAAUAUCUGAUAUUGCCUCUUCGUAACUAGUAGGAUCAUCUCUAUGAUUUGUAUCACCCAAUAAAAAAUAUAUCGUUCAUCUGAUGAAGAAAACCAUAUCUUUCUGGUGGGUGAAUUAUUCUAUUAGAUCUACGGAGCUGCUGUGUUCCUUGUGUUUGUACUUGAACAAGUUCUUCAUUGGAUUUAUCCUCAUUAGAAUUCUCAAUAAAUUCUAUUUUUCUUCCUUGUCCACCUUCUUGAAUAAACUCUUUUUCAAGAAAUAUGACAUUUCUACUGACCAAUACCCUUUGAUCAGAUUGGAUGUAAAAGUAAUAACCCAAAGUUUCCUUUGGGUAUCCAAUGAACCUCCCACUAUCCGCUUUAGCUUCAAGUUUCUCACUCUUGAGUCUCUUGAUAAAAGCAGGACAUCCCCAAAUCCUAAGAUGAUUUAGGCUUGGUUGUUUACCAUACCACAUCUCAUACGGUAUUUUAGGUACAGACUUGGAAGGUACUCUGUUUAGUACAUAUGUUGCAGUAAGGAGAGCAUAUCCCAAAGAGAAAUUGGUAAGUCUAUAUAACUCACCAUUUAUCGCACCAUGUCUAACAGUGUGCGAUUUCUCCUCUCAGAUACUCCAUUAAGCUCUGGUGUACCUGGAGGUGUCCAUUGUGAAACAAUACCAUUUUCUUUAAGGUAAGACUGGAAUUCUCCACUGAGAUAUUCACCACCUCGAUCUGAUCGUAGGGUUUUAAUAACUUUUCCAGUCUGUUUCUCUACUUCAUUUCGGUAUUCUUUGAACUUUUCAAAGGCUUCAGAUUUAUAUUUCAUUAAGUAUACUGAACUAUACCUUGAGUGAUCGUCGAUAAAAGUUAUGAAGUAGUAAUAUCCACCCCUUGCCAUUUCAUUAAAUGGUCCACAUACAUCAGUAUGUAUAAGUUCAAGUAAAUCAGUGGCCCUUGUACUUCGUCCAACGAAGGGUGCCCUGGUCAUUUUUCCUUGAAGGCAUGAUUCACAAGUUGGAUAAGGUUCUAAACCAAAUGGACCUAUUAGUCCAUCUUUAGCCAAUUUUGUGACUCUAUCUUCUCCAAUAUGACCUAGCCUUAAAUGCCACUUAUAUUUGGGGCUUAUUUCUUCUCUUUCACGUUUAUGUGUUAUGGUAUUUACAUUCACAACAUGCUCAUUAUUUUCUUUCAUGUUUAGUACAUAUAGAUCAUUAUCUAAAGUACCAUGUGCAACAUAUUUAUUCUCAUGAUAAAUAUUACAAAUUUUAUUUCUGAAAUAAAAUUCAUAAUUGUCUUUGCAUAAACAUGAAAUUGAAACUAUGUUCCUUACAGCAGAAGGAACAAAUAAACAAUCAUUCAAACUUAUUACAUGCCCAGAUGUCAUUUUUAAGAAAAAUGUCCCUAUAGCUGAGGCAGCAACUAUUGCUCCAUUUCCCACUCUAAGAGACACUUCUCCUUGUUUAAGUCUUCUACUUCUUUUCAGAUCCUGCAUUGACAUACAAAUAUGUGCGGUCGCAGCAGAAUCUAAAAUCCAAGAAGUAGAAUGAAUGAUUGAAAUAUUAGUUUCAAUAAUGAGCAUACCUUCAGAAGGAUUCUCUUUAGGCUUGACUUUCAAGCUGUUGAGGUAAGAUUUGCAAUUCCUCUUCCAAUGCCCAUUCUUACCGCAAUGGAAACAUUUUCCCUUGUCAUUGGGCUUAUUAGCUUUCCCCUUCUUAAUCCCACCUUUAGCCUUGGGUUGAAACUUUUUCUUUUUACCCUUUUUAGUUGAGGGCCCUUCUAUAGCCAUAACAUCUUUUGGCUUCUUUAUGCAAGUUUCAGCAGUAUUAAGCAUCUUUAGCAGUUCAGCAAGACUGCACUCCAUUUUAUUCAUGUUAAAAUUCAUGAUAAAUUGAGAGCAUGAGUCUGGCAAGGACUGUAGGAUAAGGUCGAUAGCUAAUUCCCCAUCCAUUGAGAAAUUAAGAGCUUCCAGCUGCUCUAUGUAGUCAAUCAUUUUGAGUACAUGAUCAUUGACCGAUCCUUCAGUCAUUCUCAUUCUGAACAGUUUCUUAGAUAUCUCAUACCUAACUGUUCUGCUUUGUUCACCAUACAACUCUUGUAAAUGAAGUAUCAUGGAACUUGCAUCAGGCAUAUUUUCAUGUUGCCUUUGUAGUUCAUUGGACAUCGAUGCCAAUAUAUAGCUUUUAGCACUUAGGUCAUCAUCUUGCCACUUCUGAUAAGUGACACGAUCUGCCUCACUUGCUCCCUCAGGAAUUUCAUUUAGAUUAGAUGUAUCAAGAACAUAGCUAAUUCUCUCAUAAUUAAGAACAAUUCUUAAAUUUCUGAACAAAUCAACGUAAUUAGGUCCCGUCAAACGGUAGUUUUCCAGAAUUCGUGCUAACAGAUUAUUCAUUAUUAAGUAUUUCUGCAGAAAGUAUAAAUUAAAUUAUUAGCAUUUUAUUUUAUUAUAAUCUAUUUGAUUUUGGUCUUUAAACCAAAUAGUGCCUCCUGUUGAGUGUUAGAAAAUGCAUAUUUAUAAAGGAGAAAACCGUCAUUUUACAUUUCAAGUCUUAUUAACAACCCUUACUUUUAUGUAUUUAACAUUCUUGUGAUUUAAUUACAUGUGUUUAUUUUAAUUAAGUAAUUUAUGUAUUUUAGGGGCAUUAUAGUCAUUUCACAAUAAAAGAGAGAUCAGACGGCAAAACGGACAUCACUUUUGAACUCAGGACGGUCGAAAACCUUAGGAGGAGCAUAAAAGGAAAAAUGACACUAUUCACAUGUACGGUACUAUUCACGGGUACGGUAUUGUCUACGUUACUGUUCACGACAAUGUUCACAUAGACGGAUCAAUGACGUGGCAUUGAUUGAUGACGUGGCAUUGACUGAUGAGGUGUCACGAUCCUGUUGGACUAAAAUUCUUAUAUACUGUUGAUGGUGACGUGGCAGCAUAUUAGUGGACGAAAAAUCUCGCGUACGGUGCAUGCAUCACACAGGAUUAUUUUCAACCAAACCGCGUUACUGUUCAUCCGGGUCAAACCGUGUUACUGUUCAUCCGCGUGGUCAAACCGUGGACUCUUGACUGAUGACGUGGCGCAAUCUUGAGCGUCCAAACUGUUUUUAAUCCGAUGGCCAUGAUUUACUCCAUGUAUCUAUAAAAAGGGGGCCUCUCCCCCCUAAUUUGAUAUCUCUGAAUCCAUUUUUGGGAUCCAUUUUCUGUAAUUCCUUCUCCAUCUUGUAUUUUCUUCAUAUUUUAAUAAAUUUCCAUUUUGCCCCUAGUUCAAUUAUGAGUGGCUAAUUUUCUUUCAAGCUUGGGUUGAAGGUGAAGUCUCAACAUGUGUCAUGGGCUUUAUUUGGUAAAUUUAUUUUCUCUUCCCCUCUAGUUUUUGUGGAUGUUUUGACUUCUCGUCGACAAAUAAUACUAAUCUUGUCUAGUACCGCCUUGGUUUCACCGGCCUUCUAGUACAAGGUUAUUAUUAUUUGGCACGAUAAGCCCUUAGCACCAUAUUGAUUAGAGCGUGGUUCAUGAGGUGUGGAUUCCCCCUUCAUGAUUUAAUUGGCAUUAAUACGGAUUAUAUAGCCCAUGAUGCAUGUUGAUACGGAUCCAGAUACCCAAGUACGUCAAUUUAAUAGAUUUCAUUUUCAAGUUAUUCUUGCCAUUUCAAUUCCAAUUUUAGAAUUUAUUCUCGCCAUUUUAAUUUAAGUUUUAGCAUAUUCCAAAUCAUUUCAACCACAAAUCCCACCACCCAUUUCCAAAAUUAAUUCUACACAUAAUUAAAAUCCACCUCCUCGUGGGAUCGACACUCGUCACCAUUAGUCUAUACUACAAUAGAUUCGUGCGCUUGCGAGUACAUUAAAAUUUGCACAACACGUCCCACUAUUUUAUCAUUUCCUUACACUCCCAUAUGUAAGAAACGGAAACUCUCAUUGGUAAAAGUUUCUAGUAGGAAUCAGAUUCUCAUUAGCCUAAGUUUACCUCACCUAACAGUUCUUGGCUUACUUAUUAUAAUGAGUAGGUAACUCUUACCAAAUGCAUCUCAUGCAUGUACCGAUUAUCCUUCGGCCUCUAAAUCAUUAAUACCUCACCUGACAGUUCUUAGUAUAAAUGAUUUAGUUAAGUUUACCCUAAUACCCUUGCAUAUUUUCAUAACGUCUUACUAACUUCACCUAACAGUUCUUGGUAGCUUAAUGUAUGAAUUACGCAUCAUCGCAUGAUAUAUGGUUUAUUUUCAACAUUUUAAUGAAUGAGUAGCCCAUGUAUCUAUGACAACUAGCCCAAGCAUAAAAUAUUUUAAAUAUUCCAUUGGUAUUAGUAGGCCAUGAUGGAUAUUCUCAAUAUUCAUCAUUACAACUUAACAAUAAUUAUGUUUAUUUAAUUAGGGAGUAUUUGGUCAUUAUUAUGGUCUCACUUUUUAGCAUGUUAUUCCAUUUUCAAUAUUCAAAUAUGUCUAAGCACCCUAAUAUACAUCUCAUGCAUAUUAUAGACAAGCCAACUAAGGAUGAUCAUGGAAUUUUCUAAUAAAACCAAUUUGAGCCAAAAUUAGUUUUAAGGUCCACCUAGGUAUCAAGCAAACAAUAAUAAUUAUGAGACAUCCCAUGCCUCAAAUUAUCAAGCAAACAAUAAUGAUUAUGAGACAUCUUAUGCCUCAAAUUAUUACAAUUAUUAAUUUCUAUUUGAAUGGCCAAAAUAUCAUUGGAAGUGAUGCAACGAUCCACAAAGACUUCUUACUCCAACCUCCAAGGCAUCGCAACGUCCCUCCUUUGACAAUCAUCUUGUAGAAAUUACAUAUUUAGAAGAAUUGGAGUACAAAUUUAGGGGUAAUGGGAUACAAUCAGAUCUUAAUAGAAGGAGAGACAUGCAAGUCCCUAUUUAAAAAUAUAACAACCAUUUAAGCCUUUAGAAAUCGGCCAAAUCAACAAAUAAAUCAAUAGAUCAUUCAAUCACACAUAUAUUCAUUCAUCACAUGACAUAAAUAUAUCAUAAAAUAUCUAGGUCUUUCCAUGAUCGUCCUUCAUGCUAUUAUAAAUGGAAAUAACAUAAAUCAUGCUUCAAAAAUGCGAAAUUGAAUGAAGAUGGCUCUGAUACCACUUGAAGGACAACAUUUGUCCAUGAGGUUCCUAAAAUCGCAACUUUUGUGCAGUAAUAUUAAAACGGACGGCGGAAGCUCUAGAAACCUCGGAUCGGCUUCAUUCAAAAACGAAAAUCAAGAGGAAAGAUUGAAGUUUAAUUACCUCACUUGAAGUUUCGAAAAAGACUUCUUGAGGUAGGAGAAAACGACUGAAAACAGCAAGCUACGAACACUGUCCAGAAAAUACAGCUCUGCACGAACAGCUUCUGUUUUGCCACGAUCUGAGAUCCUUAAGCACCCCAAUUGUGAUGCCUCUAAUUAUUCCACACUUAGAAAUGUUCUAGGAGUUCAGAGGAUUUGGAAUCACGAAAUUUCGUUUAGAAAUGAGAGAGAUAAUGAUGAAACAUGAAUGCUAGUCCAUGAUGAUUCCCCUUCCACCAAAUAAAGCACCAUUAUGUCUAAUAAUGGCACCAAACAUUAUCAUGUGCUAGACCCACCCACUUAGCUAUAAUUUAUUGAAAGUGAUCUUAUCACUUAAAUAAAUUAUUUAAUCAAAUUAAUAAAUAGCUAAAUUAAUUAAUUUCGUAAUUAAUUAAUUAACCCCAUUUUGAUCAAAUCAAAUGGUUAAAUGUGGGCUCAUUUUGUGACAUGUUCUAAUGCUUUCUCUUAAUCCAUAUUAGAUCCAAUAAAAGCCCAAAAUUAUAAACCCAAAAAUGGUCUAGAAGUCCAUAAUCAUAUAUGAACCCGAACAUGUCCAAAAUGGUCAUUUUACGUGCUCGAUAUUACAUAAUGUUUAAUGGAGGAUUUACGAAAUUUAUUUUGUUCCUUAAACUAUUUAUGGAACAUCUAAAUUUCUAUCUUAAAUCAUAUUUAAGAUAUAUUUAUAUAUAUAUGUAUAUUCAUUCUCAAUGAAUUAUAAUAUAAAUAUUGAUUUUCCUAAAAAUAGGAAAUUUAACUUCUCAUUUUCUAGUAACUCCUUUUUCAUUUCUAUUUAAUGUGUGACCUUUUAGGUUCUUAGUUAUAAGGUAGUAGAACUAUUUUAAUGAUAACUCUUUAUUCAUUAAAUGAUGCUAAACUCUUUAGUCAUCAAUUAGAACUCUUCUAAUGACCUUAAGAUGCAUUGAUAAUACGCUUUACCAAUAUUGAUCUUAAGGUUUCUACAAGUCAUGAGUGACACCUAGCAGUAUAUCACAACCAUCCAAAUAACAAGAAUUGUUGGAUCUAUAGAACCUAUUCCAUUGUGUCUCUAUGUCUUGGUCUCUUCAUCAUCCAUGUCCAAAGAAAAGCACGGCUUAUGGUUUAUUAUGUUAAGCACUUAUGCUUUAUCUCAAAACAAAUCUAAAUGAACUUGACAUGAAAAUAUAAUUUGAACUCCUUCAAAUAUAUUUCACCUUGGCCAAGGAUUUCUCAUGCCAAUUCAUAUUAUCUUAUAGGGACAUCCUUUUUGUAUAUUACAAAGUGAUGAAUUCCAUAUUGGCCAUGCACUAGUCUUCAUACAUAUCCAACCAUGACAGUUAUUGCUAGAUCUCUUCCGUGAUUAGGAAUCAAUCAUUAUGCAUUCACAUAUCAGAGAUGUCUAUGUAUAAGACAUCUGUUAUGCCUCAGGUCUAAAGACCAUUACUAAACAUAGUGUCUAAUACAAUGUAUAAUAAGCCAUUAACACUCAAGACCAUAUGGCUUACUAUAUUUGGUCAAGUUCAGUAAACUUGUUCUCUCAACAAGUACCUAUGUGUUUGACUUGACAUCUCAUGUCAAUGAUAUGAAACUCACCAUCCAUUUUAGUAUCACAUACCAUAAGAAGUCAUAACACAUACUAGUGUUUAUAGGAAUUUAUAAUGUCCAAUCAUAAAUCCACCACUAGGAACUAUUUUAGAAGUAUAGUACAAAGGAUACACGUUUCAUAUUCUCGACAAACUCGAGAAUGUGUUCCUUAACUAUUUUACAUCUUGGACUAUAUUCAUUAAAUUAAUUAAUGAAUAUUGAUAACUUUGCCAUUUUAUAAAUAUCAAAAUGCUAUUCAAAUACGAUAAUUCCCUAAACAAACAAACACCAUUUGAUUGGCCUUUAGGGCAUAUUACUAACAAUAGCUGCUGCGUUGAUUUCUAAUGCGGUGGAGUAAUCGUCGUUAGAAUCUGAAUGAUAUGUCUAAGACGUUGCAUGCAUCAAGAAAAUUGCAGACGAUUAAACCUUGCCAUCUAUGCGUUGUAUGAGGUUAUAGCAACUAUCUAUCUGGUCACCGUUUUAAAAGAAUAAGACAAAGGGAAAAAGAGAAAGAAAAGAAUGAUUCGACAAUGGCAUUAAAGUUCAACAUACCCCAAGAUCUUGUAAUAAUGCCAUUAAUCAUUCUCUAGCUAGGCUAGCCUUAGAGAAAAGUGAAACUGUUGCACAGGUAGAAUCAAACCCCUCAGAGAUAUGAUGAGUUCGUGAUGCUUGCAUUUUAUUGAUGCUGAUGAUUCGUUGAAUGUUUUAUGUUUUUGAUUUUUAAGUAUUCCGGAUCGAAGUUUGUGUCUACGCGGAAAUUGUAAAGGCAGCAUAUAAAGUACUCGUCGUUCUUUAGAUUUUAUUGAGUACACUUUUGUCACAUUUAGCGUAUGCUAUACACUACUGAUUUGCGCAUUGACAUAUAUCUUAUUUUAUCAUUUUGAAUGAAUUACACGGCGAGGCUUAUCAACUUUGGAUGAAUCCUCCAAUUGUCACAGUCCAAGACUGGCUGCAGUGAGUGAAAAUUUACCCAUAUAUAUGCUGGCUAUUUUUAUUGGCGACGAAUUCGUUGUAGUUGGUCCAUCUUGCUAUUCUCGGACAAUAUUAGAGAAAAUAAUCAUAUUAUUUCGCGUGAUGUGACCUUCCAUAACUUAUCAAUUGAAUUACUGUAAAAUUAUUGUGUAAGUUUAGGCCCAAUGGCACUUUAGUUCAUCACAUGAUAGCCUGGAUUUAAAAGGAAAACUAUAUUGCAUUGCUUCAAAAAAAAAAUUUAAUGUUUUUAAUAUGAAUAUUUUUAACUAUAUUCAGUUAAAAUAAUAUAUUCUUAAUAUUAAUAUUCAUAGAUGAAAUUCUUUUGCGGAUUUAAGAAUAAAAUAUCAAAUAGUUUUAUUUUUCUUUUGUUGUGUAACUCGGACCGAAAAAGACAAUGAGCUUAACAUGACCCUCCUUCCGGCACUAUGCAUGUUUUUCUUAUAUUAAUGACAGUGCUCUUGGUGCUUCUCAUCUGCUUCUUGCUUUGGUUUCAAACAAGUCUUUCUCCGUCGAGACAUUUAUUGUAAUUUGAUUUGGAGACAUCUGUCGUUCAAAUAUAUUUCAUAUGCAAGCCGUUGAUAAUUCUGCUUGAGAAAGCCUACAAAGCAGCUGUGUGAUGUAAUAGAAGACUAUAUAUGCAAACGGUCAUCAGUUUCUCUUGAAUUCUUUCUUGAGUUUCUUUGAAUUAUUUGUGAAUGAGUUCUUAAUCGGCUGCUGCUCUUCAGGAAAAGGAAAGUGUUGCAAACUGGUGAAGCUGAUCGAUAAAAGCAAUGUACCAUCUUUGCUGGCAUGGAUCGAUGCCAGUGAGUUUUUUUAUUUGUCAACCUUUUUAAUAAUGCAUAUGUUUUUCUUCAACUUGAAGCGGCAUAUAAGACGAAAGAAGUGAUCUUUAAAGCAUUCUAUGGCAUUAUCCUUUCCUAUUAUAUAUAUCCAAUUGCUCCAAAUUAUUUGUAAAUUACUGAACACGAAUGCUGGUGAAUAAACUGAUGGCUCUAUGUAUGUAUGCACAUGCAUGGAGAAAUUUUAAGUCAGACAUUCUCAUAUAUAACUCGUGCUACCAAAUCAUUAAAUAAUCUUGAAAUCAAAGUAAUAAUUAAAUACAAAUAAAUUGCUCGAAUUGUACAUAUAUCUGAAUCAUGUAGUGAAGAAAAUACAACAACAACAACCAAUGGCUCAAAUUCCCCAUCAACUUCUAGUCUCAACACUUUUGAGUGUCAGAAGCAUUACUCUGCUACCAGUUAACAAACAUAUAAUUAGUAAUUAGCUAUUCACUUCCCUUUUAGGCCUACCACAUUUUCUACAAAGAAGCCAUAGAGAAUCAGCAGGAAACACUCAAUUUCAACCUAUGUAGGACCAGGAAUUUCAACCAAAAAAAAAAAAAGUGUGCAAUUGCUUAUCCUAUCCUAUUGCUACUAGAAAGAAAGUGAACAAUUAAUUUCAGUGAAUAAAUUAAAAAAAAAAUUACUUCUGCAGAUACUCAAGCUAAGAACACAUUAACCCAUUAAAGACUCCAAAUUGCAUCAAACAAAUUGUUGUUAAACAAGUAAAACAAAGAAAGAGAGUUAAGGAAGCUGACCUAGUAGUAGGGGAGCUGAAGAAAGACUGCCAGUGAAUGUAAGAGAAAAUAAAAUGCAAGAAAUGGUGAAGUGCAGCUUUUCAUGUCAACUUGAAAAUGAUUUUUCUGUUUUUUUUUUUUUUUUUUUUUUGUAAUCUUUUGGAUUUUUCAAACAAAGAAAAUGAGGAGCAACCAGGGAGAUAAAAAGGGCGCCAAGGCAACUGUGUGUUGGGUUUAGAGCCAAAAAAAAAAAAAAAGAAUAAGACAUCGUGUUCUUGUGGAGACCAGACCUAUUACGUAACGUCCCCUUCAAUACCACUUGUUCCGUAUCUGGUUUUUUCUUCGUCUUUUACAUAUUUAUCCUGUGAUUUUACAAUAACUAAAUAAUCCCCCCAUAGUUUGCAAUUUUAUUCAUUUGAGCCCUACAGAUUUCAGUAAUAGGAAUUAUUAAGGGACAAGAGCGCAAAACAGAAACUCUGUCCACUACUGAUGAUAUAACAACGAACCUUUGUUUUUUUCUUUUUCUUUUUUUAAAAAAAGAGUAACAAAAUAUCAUUAGACAAAUGAAAAUAUUAUCUAACAUCACCCUACUGAUGAUAUAACAACGAACCUUUGUAGUUUCUGCCUGUUAAUAUGAAUUGAUCGGGAGUGUUUCCUCAAUUAAAAAUUACGAAUUUACAAAAUAUGUAUGUAUGUACGUACGUAUAUAUGUAUGUACAUAUAUGCAUACACCUAUGUAACAUUUACUUAUCCAUUCUUUUGAGUUUAAAACUUAAUACACAUUUUCAUGAAAUUUUUUAUUUUAUUAAGUAUACAACUACAUUAAUGUAUAUAUUUUUUAUAUAAGACAUGCCGUCCUAUUAUUCGUAAGUAAAACAAUGUGUUGUGAAUAGUAUUCCGUGUUUUCUCAAAGUUGACUUUUCGUCUUUUAUUUUCAGACGCAGACGAUAUGUCAUUUUGUAAUCUUCCAAACAUAUACAGAGCUGAAUUGGUGUUAUCUGAUUUUGUGAUGCAAUGAUAUUUGCACUUCCUGUGCACUCAAUGGAAUCAUUUCUUUGUAACUAAUUGGGUGGUGGAAUCUAUCAAACUCCAGAAACAGGGAAACCAUGCCACGCUAGUAGACAAUAUGCUAGUUUUAACAAACUUGUUUGAAUGGCAAAAACGACAUGACCUGCUGUAGUAUUAGUUCUUUCCCGAACCAACGGGUGAUUUGCUACGUUGGAUCAUGAAAAUUGAAAAAAAAAAUUAACCAAAAUAAAAAUUCUUAAGGAAUUAGUUAGUUAAUUGAUUGAUCGAAUUUAAUCUAAAUUUGAAAAUGAUAAGAUAAAUUUAAAUUUAUUAUUAUUAUUAUUAUUUUAAAGUGGGUGGGUUUAUACAAUUUGAGCGGUGGAAAUAUCACUGCUGAAUUAUUAAAUAUACAGUGUAAAAUUUUGACCUUUAAAAUAUUCCCUUUUUUUUUAUUAUUUAGAACUAUAAGUUUAAAAAUUUAACAUUUUACCUCAAUAAUUAAAUACUUUUAACUUUAAUCUUCAAAUAUUUACCCUACAACAUUUGGACCUAAAUUUUUAAUCCGACUCGGCCCCUGACCCAAGUGGGAAGAAGAUCAGGCUUAUAAGUUAUAACUAUCACCAACAUAACAUCUUCUGGAAAAUAAUAAGAUUACUCACCUGCAAUUAUGUGAUCAAACUAAUGGUAAGCAAAAUAGAACAGCGUUAUUUCAGCCCCCUUUCAGUUUCUUUAUCAUUUUUCUUUUCCUAUUUAUAAGCUGAAUUCGGUUCAAAAUCGGCUAAUUCACUUUGAUUUCACUUUUCUUUCUUUCGGUUCAAAAAAAUUGAACCCAUUGGCUGUCAAUUCAAUUUUGUUGAAAACCAACUUUGCCUGAAUUUAAGUAAUAAUAGAGGAAAAAAACAAAAGAGUACUUAGCAGAAGAGAUUUCUCAUUUUUUUCUCAUUCAAACUUCUAAAAUAAAGGAAAAAAAAACAAGAGUAAUUGUUAAUUAUCAAAAUUUUGUUUAUACUAUUCCACCAAGAAAAUUAUAAAAAAAAAAUUUUAAAAAUUGGAGAAGAAAUAUGAGGUGAAAUACGUGGAUGGCUUAGACUAAUAAUGUGAACAAAUUCCUCUCGGAAACAUGUCAUUGUUCAUCCGGACAACACGCGGCGAUGAGAUUCAAGAAUGAAAGGAUAGGAAUCAACUGUAACCUCAUAAACAAAUGGGCUUGGAGUUGUAAACACCAAGCUCGGCAGAUUAAUUAAACAAAAAUAUCCGAAUUUUCUAUGAUAAUCUCUAGGAAACGAUCAGCUAUAAUGUACGAAAUUAAAAUAUUGCAUAUAUUUUUGAAUUUUUGAACUCAUGCAUUAAUUUCAAAAAUUAUAUCGUAUUAUAAUUUAUUCACAAAAGAAAGAAAAAUUCACUAAUCAAGUGAAAUCGUAUUCUUAUUGAAAUGAAUUCCAGUAAUUGGAUAAAUAUAAGUAUUUCUUCCAUUGUAAUUUUUGUUUAAUAGAAAAUCUAUUUGAGAUUUUGUGAGAAGAAACUCAACAAUAAAGUUUGAUAGACUUUGUGGAUAUUAAGAGUUUGACAAGUAAUUGAAAUCUGAAGUUUACUGAAGUUUACGAGCAAACAAACUGAAAUCCAAAGUUUACUGAAGUUUACUAUCAAGAGUUUCAAAACAGUGAAAAAGAUGAUAUAGUUGAUGACAGAAACCUGAGUUAUCCAUAGCGACAAGUAACAUACUGAAGUAAGCCGUUGGGAGCUGGCCUGUUCAUGGGCUAUUUUUCUCUGAUGAUCUGCAUUUUUCUUCCUUUUAAGUGAACCUUGACUCGUAUCAAACCUGUCAAAAGAACAGUUCAUCAACUGAGCUGAGAUUUGCUUUCCUUUUUCAAAACCCACCUGAGAUAUUGUAAUUCCCAAAUUUCUCUCUCUCAGCUACACGAGCAAGCAGCCGCUUUUUCACUUCAUCGAAGAAGGUAAGCGAUAUAUCUAUUUCGUCCGAUUGAUUUCUUGUUUCCUUUUCAGUGUUCGGGUAAAUUAUUGGCAUGCCUGACUUUUUGACCAUUACAUGAUUCAUAAAUUUAUAUUAAUUUUGAUUUUGAGUUGACCGGUUACUUUUAUAGGUUUGCUUACUUUGACUAGGUGACCAAUUUCUUGUAACUAAAUUUAUGACGUGAUGCAGGAAGCUGGGCAGGAUAUGAAAUGAGAAUCUUAUUAGUGGAAGGAUUGCCAGUAACAGAACCCAAAGAAAAUGAAACCAUUUCAAGGCAGCAGUUGGCAGUUGGGAGUGAAUGGAGGCCCCUGACAAAACUUCAGUAAACUUCAGAUUUCAGUUUGUUUGCUCGAAACUUGCAUGGUGACAAGGAUACUGACAAGGAUAAUGAGAUAGUUUUUGUGUGAAUGAAAUUACGACCAUCCUCAGCCUCAGGUAAUUUCUUCUCCUGCUUAGUUGUUAUUUGUUACCUAAUUAAGAAGCAUAAAGUAUCUUGAAUCAUUUUCGUUGUCUGGAAUAUAUGCAACAGUUUUUAAAAUUUUGAUAUCAGUGUAAUGAUUGUAAUUUCUGUUUUCUGUCUGUCAUCGAAUGUAAGGCAACUUUAUUAAGACUCUUGAACCGAGUCAUUUUUUACAAUUGAAGGACAAGUGCUGAAGAGUGGGAAUGCAAAAAUUUUUGUUGUUUUUAGCCUUGUUUUCUUUGAACCAGCGCCUGAUUCUCAAGACUCCAUUAAUUUGGCUUUUGAUCAGCUGAUUGAUAAAUGUUCAAUUUCUUUGGUGAUAAAUGUAUAUGUGAAGCAGGUAGCAGGGCAUGACUGUGGAAAAGAGAAGAUUUUAGUGAAAGCCGAGACUCAGAUAAUUCUACGCGUUUUGGCUGAUUUAUAUAAUUCGUGAAAUUUUAUUUCCGUCUGUUACAAGAUCAAACUGCAAUUAGCAAUUUAACAUUCCCUUAAAACCACUAGCUACAUUUCAUCUUUCCACAAUUACACUUAAAAUUCCACUAAAAGAAACUCUUGAGGUGCUCUGAUGAGCAUAUAAUAUAUACAUAUUUUACCCUUAAUUAAAUAAUUGCUAGUUAUAUUUAUUUGUUAUUUUUAAUUAAUUGAAUUAUUUUAUUGCAUAGAGAAUUAAUUGAAGAUUGGAAAUAAAAAGUGCAAAAAGAAUAACAAUUUAGGAGAAUAUUAGUUGAAGUCAUGACAGAGUUAAGAGCCAAGAGCAAUUUGCAUUGAAUUUUAAUUCUCCAAUUGAGUUGCACGUGCAUGGCAUUGCAAAAGUGGAAAGCAAUUUAAAUGGGGCCCACACUUGACUUUCAAAAGUGGAAUUAAUGGCUUAUGGUGGCGUUAUUAUGGAAGCUUUGUUUUAUAAUUGGAAAAGGAUUUUAAUUAGUAGACAAAGAGGAUUCGGUGGUUAAGCAUUAUAAAAAGAGCGUUUUGGCUUUUGAAUGAGGGGAGCCGCCAGAGGACGGAAACAAAAGGGCUGGAAGAGAGCAAUCGGUAGUAGCAAUAUUUCGGCUUCCAUGGCUGAUUUUAUUUCUUGUGUUGCUCUCAAUUUAAGUAUGUCUAGCUAAUUUUCUUAUGCUGAGGUUAAGGAUAAAACCCUAUUUAAUGAAAUAAUUAUCUUUUUAUUUAAUUAAUUCCUUAUAUAUGUUCUUUGAUGAUUAUGGUUUUUAUUUCACAUGAUUAAUUGGAUGUUAAUAAAAUCUUUUCAUCAAUUCUGUCAUGCAUUAUUGAUUGUUAGGAUUAAUAUUCGAUUAAUUCUAUACUUGGAUCUAUAAAGUUUAUACAUGAUUAUCUUUGAUUUUAUGUCUUUCAUUAAAUUGUUGACAUGGAGUGCUUAGGAAACUUUGACUCUUUGUUAUUCAAUAUGUUUACAUGAGAUUCUUAGAUGUCAUACUAUUAAGCAGAAAAAAACCUACAUAAGAUUAAUUUUAUUUGGGCUUAAUUGUUAUAUCCAUGAGAUGACAUAGAUAGAUUUCGAGUUGUCACUCUAAAAUUGGGGAUUAAUUAAUAAUUAGCUAAUUACUAGUUGAAUAGUGGUGGAUUCUGAAACCUUAGUAAUUUGUCUUAUUGAUUUCUCAUUUGCUUUAAUUGUUUUCUUAGUUUAAUUAGUUUAAUUUCUCUUAAAACUCAAUUUGCUCAACUAAGUUAGAAUUAAUAUUAAUUUUAGAUUUAAAUUAGACUUUUCAAUUUAUAACAAUCCCUGUGGGAUCGACCUCGUGCGCUUGCGAAUAUAUUAAAAUUUUCACAACAUGCUCGCAAGCUAUAUAUCAUUAUCCAUUGAAUUCUUACCACAUAUAUCUCACCUUUCAAUCAAUCACAUAAUAAUCAAUAUACAUAUUGUAAGAAUUCAACAAAUGGAGAACAUAAUAUACUAUAAAAGCAUCCAAAAUUUUUCCUUCUCAAAUUAUUACUAAACUUCUUGAACAAGUUGAAGAUUGGGGGGAAAAAGUGCAAGAAGGAAAAGCAUUAUUCUACUAGCUUCUAGAAAGCAAAAUACCUUCUGCUGAUUGCACAUUGGAAUGGGAAUAAGUUGGUAAACAUAUAAGUUACAUAAAUUAUUUUGGAUAAUUCUGCUGGUGAAUUAAUUAUCUUAAAAUCACCCUUUUAUUUUUAAAAAAAUCUUAAGUUAUUUUUCAUAUAUCUUAAGAAGACAAACAAACUUUCAUCGACUCUCCUUUUUUAGCUUUUCCCUUCAAUAAUGUUAGAAAUUCUAACAUUUGAGUCAUGCUUGAGCUUAAUACUAUAUAUCACUCAUUUAUUAGAUGUUGAAUUUUUUAAAUUAUAAAGUUAUUUGACUACCAUCCAAUGAAUGAAUGUCACGUCAUUUAAAACUCAAAGAAAAGUAUUCUACUUCUUGCGGCAAUCAUGCCUUCAUUCAGACUAUGAACCAUUUCCUUUCACCAAAUUCUUCAUAAACAUUGAGUAAGUUUCAUGGUUGGACAUAGUUAGCUUCUGUUUCUUUUGGUGCAUUUAGGUGCUAUCAAGUGACGGCCGUAAGUGUGAUUGCAUUAUUGGGAAAUUUUACGAUUUGAUGGUUCCCCACGUUAUUGCCAAGAAAGUUCUCAUGUCGGAAGCAGCGGUUCUUUUCAUCGGCCUGAACCCGAACCUGUCGCUAUGGAUAACUCAGGUUUUUGUCAUCAACUAUAUCAUCUUUUUCACUGUUUUGAAACUCUUAAUAUUAAACUUAAAGUAAACUUCAGAUUUCAGUUUGUUUGCUCGAAACUUGUAUGGUGACAAGGAUACUGGCAAGGAUAAUGAGAUAGUUUUUUGUGUGAGUGAAUUUUGAGAGCUUGAGUGUUCUGGGAUUUGCAAUUGCAAUCAUCCUCUGCUUCAGGUGAUUUCUUCUCCUGCUCUGUCUUUAUUUGCUCUCUAAUUGAAAAGCAUAAAGUAUUUCAAUCAAAUUCUGUACCAGGAAUACUUAAAAGUUACUGAUUCUUUAUUUCCAUUUGUUUGCAUUGAUAACUUGACGGCAUAUGUACUAGUUAAAAAACAAACAGAAGUAGAGUUUAGGAAAAAGCUUCUUCGGCCACCAUAUUUGAAAAUGAAACCAUUUCCUAGAAGCAGUUGGCAGCAAAUUCAUAUAAAGUGUACACAAUGAUUAGCAGAAAGGUGAUUCACAAUUUCAUUUUUUUUUUAAAUGAAAUUAUUUGUUAAGUUGGAGCUGAUAUUGUUAGAAGGCCAAUGAGCUAACCUAUGACACUGCUUGCCUAGAUUGCAGGAGGUCAAGGCUCAAAAGAAGCACUGAAUUUUAAAAGGCAUGCAAUAAUUCUUAUGGCCAUAAGUCAAUUCAUGUAAGUUUGAAUAAGUUUAAUGGUGGAACGCUUUAAGCUCCUUUUCCUUUCGUGCAUUUUGGGGUGCUAUCAAGUGAUCGCCGUAUGUAUGGAUGCACAUAGCUGCUGCUGGGAAAUGUGAGGUUUUCAUGGCUGGCCGUGUUAUUGUCUUAAAUUAGAUGUGAUAAGCUGUUGCUUGGAGAUUCUGUUGCCAAGACUUUGCUCACAUCAGAAGCUGUGGAACCU